GCUUGGAACCUUUCCCUGAGUGCCUGCCUAGCACUGCUCUCGAGUACUCGUCUUCCACUGCUGCUGUACUUUCAAAGAAGCUACCAUAUCUGCCUGGAGAACAGAUAAGGCAAGUGAAAAUGAUACCUUGCAGCAUGUGGAGACAAGGUGCAGAAGGAACAAGCAGAGAAGAAUGCGUUCUGCACAGUCAACUCAGCAGAAGAAGUCCGAGCUGAAGAACUCGAGAAGCUGCCACAUCUGCCUGAAGAAACAAGCAGAGAAGAAUGCAGCAUGCACAGUCAACUCAGCAGAAAGAGUCUGAGAUAAAGAACUUAAGAAGAUGCCACAUCUGCCUGAGGAACAGAUAAAGCAAGGGAAAAUAAUACAUUGAAGCAUGUGGAGACAAGCACAACAAAGCACGUGCCGAUUCAUCCGCUGCUUCUUCAAAAUCAAAAGUAUCUCAUAUCAUCAGGGUUGCAAUCACUCUGGACGGUGAACUCGUUUUGACCCUGAAAUUCUUGGGUCGACUUACUAGGUGUUGUGGGAUGCACGUGCCGAUUCACCACCCUUGAAUCGAAUCCUUAAAGAUCAAGUCACCAACUGGAAGAAAGCCCCAUCAAUCUUGAAGAUCAUACCGUUGACCAAACUGCUCAGGUGUGAAUUAGAAAGAUUGAACAAAGAAACAGGUUGUCACCUUUACCUCGUGCCUGCUUGCCAUGUGUUCGAGUCAACCUUUAAGAAUCAAGCCUCAACGGCCCUUGAAGAAGUUUCCAACCAAAUUCAAGAUCAAGCCUCGACGGCCCUUGAGGAAAUCACAAGUCCAAUUCAAGAUUAAGUGUCUACCACCAUUGAAUCAAAACCUAGUUCAAGAAUAAGUUGUGGAAAAUCAACAAUUGGAGGAAUCCAGAAAAUCCUCCAACCCAGUUCAAGAUCAAAGCUGUGGAAAGUCAACAAGCGCAACAAAAUAUGUGCCGAUUCACCCACUACCAAAGCCAAAGAUCAUCUACCACAUGAAGCUCCUUGUGGUCCAAUUUCAACCUUCAAGAUCAAGCCUCGACAGCCCUUGAAGAAAUUUCAAACAAAAGUUCAAGAACAAGCCUUAACGGCCCUUGAAGAAAUCUCAAGCCCAAUUCAAGAUCAAGCUUCAAUGGCCCUUGAAGAAAUCUCCAGCCUAAUUCAAGAUCAAGCCUCGACGGCCCUUGGAUUGACAUCUACAGUAAAGGACUUCAAAACGCAUCUCCUACACGUGACAAGCACAUGUAUACGACGCGCCUUGAAGUGGGGGCAUUUGUAGACAUCGAAAUUUCGGUAAAUAAAUGUUGACCGAUAAAUCAAAGUGUCAACGCUCAUGUAUUACAUAAAUUUUACACGUAGCGUGUGACUCAACGAAAAUUGAAAUGAGUUGGAAAAGUCAUCAAAUAGGACACGUGUCAACACCUGGCAGAAACGACUUAUUUCAUCUGGGAUAUUAUAUUCAAAAUUAGGCCUUGGAAAAUUCUAUAAAUACAAGCCCAUUUCAUUCAUUUGAGGGGGAACCAAAAUCAUUAGGCAAAAUUCUUAAAGCUCUGAAGUUCUGAAACUCUAAAACUCCGAAGCUCUCAAGCAUCCAGGUUCCCGAAGAAUCAAGAAAUCUCUCUUCGUUCUUCGUUCAUCGUUCUUCGUUCAUCGUUCUUCCAAGAUCAAGCCCCAACGGCCCUUUGGAUCAACAAUCAUCCACCACUUCAAGAUCAAGCCCCAACGGCCCUUGAAGAAAGUGUUCUUCGUUCUUCGUUCUUCGUUCAUCGUUCUUCCAAGAUCAAGCCCCAACGGCCCUUGAAGAACUUCCACCAAUUCAAGAUCAAGCCCCGACAGCCCUUGAAGAAAGUAUUCAUCGUUCAUCAUCCGUUCAUCCAAGAUCAAGCCCCAACAGCCCUUUGGAUCAACAAACGUCGACAAAUCCACACAUCCAACCGUUCUUCAAGAUUAAGCCCAAAAGCCCUUGAAGAUCCGUUCAUCACUGUUCUUCAAGAUCAAGCCCAAAAGCCCUUGAAGACCCGUUCAUCAUCGUUAUUCAAGAUCAAGCAUUAACGGCCCUUGAAGAAAUACUCAUCAAACCCCAACGGCUUAUUGAAGAUCCGCUCAAAUCCACCUUCAAAGAUCAAGCCCACGGCCCCUUGAAAGAAACUUCCAAUAGUUCAUCCAAGAUCAAGCCUCGACAGCCCUUGGAUCAACGAAACAUCCACAAAUCAACGCCUUACGGAGAUCGAAUCAGAGGAUCAAAAUUGAGAGAGAUUGUAACCCAAAAUCAUCAAAUACAUAAUAUUUGUUUGUGCACGUUGUUCUUGUCUCUUUCGUUUCAGGAAUUUUCCGUGUUUACAGUCAUUUACGCUUUAUUCUUCUUACUGAAUUUCAUUUUUAAAAUUUUAUUUUUUGAAAACAUGAUCAUCUGGCGGAUGUAAGAAGAUGAUAUCAUGUUUCUAUAUUUACGGUUAACUGAAAUAUGAGUCAAUGUCAUAUAAUUUGUAGAAACUUUAUAAACAUCAAGCAAUAUUUUCACUAACCGUAAAACUCUAAAUAUAAUAUCAACGAUCCAAACCGUUCAUCUACCUACACCCUCUAAUAGAUCAUGUUUUCAAAAAUGAAAAUCUAAAAAAACGAAAUUUGAUAAGAACAAUGAAGCAUAAAUGUAAACAACAAUCAACGGUUAAAUUUUGAUCUAUGAAUUAUAUGAUUAUAGUAGCGAAUUUCGAAGUUAAGCUCUUCAUAAAAGUUAUAAAGCUUAUCAUUAAGAGUGUUUAUAUAUUUUUUUCUAUAUUUUUUUACACUUCUACAUUAAUUAAAAAACUAUUAAAGACUUUAGGUAAGCGAAAAUAUACUUCAAACAAAAUUGUGUUUUUAUGUUUUGGAUGUGAUAAUAUGGAAUGUAUAUACUUAUUUAGUAUUAUGUUUUUCAUUUGAUUAUUUAUUGGUUUAAAAUAUAUUUUUCUUAACGGGUAACGGGUCAGGUCAUAUUACCUGUUAAUAUUAUCGGGUCGAUUUCGGGUCGGGUCAUUUUACCCGUUUAUUUUAACGGGUGUUACACGACACGACCCGUUAAGAUAUCAGAUAUGACACGAAAACGACACGAACACGGAAAACACGAUACGAAUGCCAAGUCUAAUAUAUAUAUAUAUAUGUAUAUGUAUAUGCUUAUAUCUUAAUUAUGGGAAAAUUUUACAUGUUUUACAGCAAGGGGUUAGUAUGUUGAUAAAUGAAAUGGUUUUGUAAAACAUUUGUUUUUGCCCACUCACGUUUUCUAUUUUGCGCCCCUUUAGGUUUUAAGUAAGCUUGUUGUUGGUGGCUUGAGGAUGUUGGCAGUUCUGACUUAUCUAAAUAAUAGUAGGACAUUUCUGGUACUGUAUAACUAGUACUUGUCCUACUGGACUACACCUAAACUUUAUGCUCUGAUUAGGAGUGUUCACUGUUGUAACUAACACUAUCACUUUCUGUUUAGUAGUACACUCUAGUAAUUUGGUUUUUAAUUAUUCGUAUAUUUCUUAUCUUUAUUGCUUCAGCACUACGCACAUGGCUACGUCACUCUCACGUGACGUCCAGCAUGCCUUGAUCUCGGUCGGGGUGUGUCAGUGAAUGUUCAUGCUAUCAGGGUUGCAAAAAUAUCAAGAUAAAAACCUUUGUUUUGGAAGAACCUGAUUACGUGAUGAUAUAGAUGAACUGGUUUGUUGCAAAAAAAGCUUCAUUGUUAGAUUCUUAAGUGCAGCAGUAAGAGCGUGUUGUAGCUUAUUUUAUCUCACUACAGGGUAUGGGCAAUGGCAGGGAGAGACGUGUUUGUAGAAUCAUAGGGGAAUGUGUGUUGAGAAUGUGUUAUCUCCCUACGCAGUGCUUUUAUUUAUAGUAAUAAGAGGAAGAAUAAUUCCUUCAUCCCUAAGUAAUACAAAUCCAUAUAGGAAAGAAUAACUAAAAUAAAAUCUAAUCUAGGAUUUACACAAUCACACUUAAAUUAGGAAAGUUUAUAACACCAUCUAAAUUCUAAUAAUUAAUUAUACUUUUUUUUUAAACUAAUUAAAAGGGUUUGAAAAUUUUGAGUUUUAACGAUAUAAAGUGAAUAGUACCAAGAUUAAUUUUUUAGUGUAAAAAUGUGGUUUUUCGUUAAAGUGAACAGUACUAGAAACUUUUCUUUAAAGUUCCUUUUUUUUUUUUUUUUGAUUUUUUUGAUUGGAAAAAUAAAAAAAAUAAAAAAGGUGGAGGAGGGUGCAUCAUGCAGUGGCACGUGACUUCACACGAACGUCUUCCAGGAACUCAGGAAUUAAGCAUACAGACAAUCGCCGAAAGGUCUUCAAUUUGGGGUCACAUGAGUUAACUACGUCCGUCCGAUCAACAUACUUUUCUUGUUCCAACAAUCCAGCCGUAAAUAAUUAAACGCCACCAUAGCAUCGUACACCUGAAGCAACACCGUAAUAUAUCUCCUCUUGGCGAGCCGGAAGAGCAAGUGUCUUUGUUCUUCGCUGGAAAUAUUUUUCUAUUCAUUUUCUUUUCCGAAUUCCGAUUAUCCAAACGGGAGCGAGGAAGAAGAAUCCGUCGGACAAAAUCUCACUGACCGGAGCAUCCAAUCCAAAUGGCGGUUUCCGUGACGGCGUCCACGAUUCCUUCUCUCAGCUCUGACCGUACGACUCGCUUAGCUGCGGCGGCGGCCUCAUCCUCCUCCUCUUCUUCUUGUUCAAAGCUGUCUUCCUCUACUUCUCUGCGAUUUCCGGCGCAGCUUCGACGUGUUCGGAUCGGAACUCAGGACUCACGGCCUCGGCUUCUUCCUCCGGUAAUGAAUUUUCCGUUUUUGUAGUUUCGUAGUCUGUUUGUUUCCCGAGAAAAUCGAGGAAUUUAACCUGAUGAAAUUGUGUAGCGUUAAAAUUCCUGUUCUAAAAUUUCUGUGUUUUGUAGUGGAAGAGAUUGCAAAAUUUAAAUUUAGGAAGCAAAGCAUACAACUGCAAAUCUUGUUGUUAUCAUAUUUAUGGCCCAAACACCAAUUGCUUUGUAUUUCUUUGGUCCUUGCCGUUUCCUAUGAGUUGUGAGAAAAUCACAUGGGUCGGUUUUCGGAGUUUCCAAAUUUUAGUCUUUUCAAGAGAAUAAAGACAUUUAAUCGAAAAGUGCAGGAAAAGUAAACUCAGAGGAUGGUUUGCAAGACAUAGAUUUAGCAUGCUACAGGAGGCAUGUGGAAUAUAGAGCUUAAGGACAUGGAACUCACUAUUGAUUGUCUUUGAAAUGGUUUUGUACUUGAUUUUGGCGCACGCAGUUGAUUUUUUAGACUAUCGGUAAACUAAUUUGGAAUCAAACCUCUCUCAAACAAUUAGAAUGCACAAUGUCACCGAUAUAGGAUAUUAGGUUGCAUCAGUUUGAUCUUCCCCCAUUUUCCAGGUAAAGUACCUUUUCAUGAUAACCGUUUGGGGCAUAAAGUUGGGAAGGGACAACCUAGAACCAAAAUUAUUGAAUGGGAUGAAAGGUGUAGAUUGUAAAACUUGGAUAGUAUAUCUUGUAACGAUUUGAAUGAUAGAGACAGUGAGCAAAUCCAUAUUCGGGGCCUUCAUGCAUGGACUCGAGUGUUCUUUAAUCAUCUAAUCAGAAGCCGAUUGUUUAUACCAGUCAAUCGACGGUCCUCCUAUCACUACUGGCUUUGCCUCAAGUUACAAGUGAAGUUUCAAUUCAGGAUGAUGACCUAUCAUGUUGAAGAUCAACACCAGCCCAAUUGGUGUUUGGAUUCUAGAAGAUUCUAGCAGCAAGUCUAGAGGGCAGAGCUUCCUGAAGACUUGCACUUUGUCCAGGUGCAAUGGAACUAGAUUUUUCUAUAGAAUUAUCUAAAGCUAAGUAGUCUUUUGUAGAAAGGAUUAGAAGGAUGUUUCUUAUGUCGGUGGAAGGCUGUGUGCAUGAUCAAUGCACUAGAAAGUUCUAGUGAUAGUAUAAGUCGGCAAACAUGCCUUAUAAAUAUGUAUGUAUGAGUGUUGUAAUGUAACCAAGAAGAAGUAAGAGAGCAAACCAAGAGAGAGCUAAGUAAGAGAGUGAGAAGCCUUGUAAGUGAGUAGUCUUGUAAAGAGUGUGAGUGGUCUAGAGUUUGUCUCUAGAAGUGAGAGAGUGUCAUACGUUCUAAAUUGUGUCCUUGAUAGUUGUUGUGUUGUAAUAUUCUGUGAGUUAAUACAAGUAAUUUGUUUACUUGUUUUGUCUCUCCAACACUUGUGUUAGAGCUGUGUAUUCUAGUUUUUCCUCAACAUAUCACUUAGGUGGUUAUCCAUAUGGACCAUGUUGUGACAGUUUCAAUAGCUGCGUGUACUCUUUCUUUGCUGUCUUUGGAAUAUUUAGCCUGUAUAGCUGAAUUACGAAGUGUGACUGAAUUGGUGAUUCAGUAAUUACAUGUAUAUGUGGAAAAAAAAUUACUUUUCGUAGGUUGAAGCAAAGAAGCAAACAUUUUCAUCCUUCCAAGAUUUGCUGGCUACCUCUGAAAAACCUGUGUUGGUUGACUUCUAUGCAACCUGGUAAGCUUUUCUUGUGUAUCUCACUUCUUAUUUUGUUUGCAAUUUGUCAUUAUUGUUGUAUUGUCAGCUAAACUUUAAUUCCUAAACAAGGUGGUAGCUAUUCACCUUUUAGGUUUUCCCUCUCUAUAUAAAGGUAAGAAUAGACAAUUAAGUAAUAAACUCUGGUUGACAGGUGUGGACCUUGUCAAUUUAUGGCACCCAUCCUCAAUGAAGUCAGUAUUACGCUGAAUGACAAGAUCCAGGUUGUGAAAAUUGACACAGAGAAGUAUCCUAGCAUUGCUGAUAAAUAUAACAUACAAGCAUUGCCUACUUUCAUCAUAUUUAAGGAUGGAGAGCCAUUUGACCGCUUUGUAAGUUGAAUUUGUUCUCUUUUUUCCUUUGGGAGAUUAAUAUGUUUGCCUUUGGUAGACGAUCAAAUGUCUAGAAAUGUGUAAUCUGUCACAUAACAUCUCAUACUGAUUGCAUGCUUUUUAUACGGCCAGAAUAUGGACGGGUAUUGUCAAGUUGUUACGAUUUGCUGUUAAUUCCACUUUUUAGAUUUUGUAAGAUAUCCUAUGCACUUGCAUUGGUUUACAAUUUCGUCAGGUGUGUUGCUUUGCAUGCUUUUCUUCUUCUUUUGCUUAGUUUUGAUUCGAAGAUGUUGAAUUUUAAGGAUUUAUGUUCUCUUAGAUCCAAAAUAUUAAAUAGAAUAAAUAAUGUAUGUUCUCCGUGCAUGUAUGCAAGGCACUGUUAGAUUAGUUUUGGCGGUUUUUCUUUUUGGUUUUUUGGUCGAUUUUAAAUAUCUAUGAUGACUUUGCUUUCAUUACUUGCAGGAGGGUGCUAUGACUGCUGAUCAGCUUGUCGAACGAAUAGAAACUACUUUGAAAGUUAAGUAGGAGACAGGUGAGCUCUAUAAUAUUCGUGAGUUGAGAGCACUCGUAUCGUCCGCUGUUCUUUCUCUGCUUCCUCCUCCCCAUUUCCUAACCUUUCCUUUUUCUUCACUCUUCAUUUAUUGGUCCAGCUUCUCAGGUUGAACCGAGAAGCUGAUCGAUUCAGCCGCAUUGCAAGAAAAAUGGAUUUUAUGAAGAAAGGCACUGGAUGUUUCCUCUGCUUUUUUAUUUUUUGUAUGUAACUGGUUUGUACCAACAAAAAAGUUACGAGACUUGGCGUAAUCGCACGGGUAAAGCUUAGUGAAAACAAUUUUACGAUGUCAGUUUCUGUUGUGAUAUACACAUCCACAUCAGUUGCAUUUGAUUGAAAUUCAUGAUUUGGAAAAGUUAAUGAAAUUUUGUGGACAUUCAUUUCAUUUGCAAUGCAACUUAGACCUUAUUGGCAAUUGGUUUGUGGACACAAGAUUUACUACUUAAUUUGGAUACCUUGUCAAAUUAGAGUCAAUAAUUAACAAUGGCAUAUCUAGUAAGAAGUUAUUUCUGCAUGCCUCCCUUCCCAUUUCCUACGGCUGUUUAGCUUGCAAGCACACAAAUCAUUUGUAAUAAAGAUAUGCAAAUACGAGAUCAAAUUCAUCGAGAUUGAAUGAACAAUAAUUUGGUAUCUUAUGUUUAGCUGCGGACAUGACUGACCUCAGGAGGUCUCAAUGGAAAAAAUUUCAGAAAAAAUGUAGACAAAAGUAACAUUGAGGAAUUAAAUGAUAAUUCUUUUCAUUCGUAAAUAAUAGUGUAAACAAUGUUAUUACAAUCUACAAAGUCCAAAAUUAUCAUCGACGAGUUUUCAUAUUUUGAAAAUGUUUAUGAUAGUUUCAUACUCAACGAUCAAUCCACAACUCUAAUAACUGAAAUUUGAGAAUAAUGAGUACAAAUAGUGAACUUGAUACACUAGGAAGCUUAAGGAGGUCCCAGAAAGUCCAUAUUCGGGGCCUUCAUGCAUGGACUCGAGUGUUUCUUAAUCAUCUAAUCAGAAGCCGAUUGUUUAUACCAGUCAAUCGACGUCCCAGAAAGUCCGCUCUUCUGCUUCGACGUUGCUGAACCCGCUCUACCAUGGAGACGGCUCCCUCCUCGUCUUCCUACCCAUGGCACGGGUUUAGUCCUCCUUGAUGGUCAGCUAAUGUUCACCUAAGCUUUCGCACUUAGUAAACAAGCCUUCACUAGUUGCCUGGAACAUAACUACUAUUACUAUGAUGAUUAUUACGCCGACCACCACGGCGUUUAUAAUGCUUCUGGUUCUAAUUGGGGUGUAGUAGCCUGUCAACUGUCCAGUACCGAUUCCGAUGACUUCGGAACUUGGAUUAAGCCCAUCCAAAUUCUGGAGCCAAGGUUGCCGAGUGAAUUUUGGGGGCGAUGCACACUUAUAGCUUUGCUCAUCUAGGAGGUUCAAAAGUAUGCUUUGUUCUUUCCAAUCCCAUCUCGCACCCAAAAAAAAUUUGUCUUUGGAAGGUGCGUCUUCUUGUUCAAACUUUUGAGUUUUCCUUCUCCAAACAAAGUACCACCCUCACUAGUGCUGCUUUAUUUUAUUGUUUUUUAUUUUUUGUUUUUUUUGGAAAACCUUAAUGGUAUAAGGGUAAUUUUAUUGAUAACAAAAAAAUAAGUUACACCUAGACAGAAGGGGACAUAAACCUUACCCCUCAUAAAACAGAGACAAUAAAUAGGAAUACACGAAAAAGAAGGGGGAACAUAAACCUUACCCUUCUAGAAAUAAAAAACGAGAAUGAUACAAAGAAAAGAGGGGGGGGACAUGAAACAUAAUCCCUCUAAAACCAAACCUAAAGGUCUAAACUUGCAAAACAAGUCAAACAACCCCAUAAAGUUAGGAGAAAAAAAAAAGUGAGACAAACCUGGAUGCCGACAUGCACAUUAAUUUGAGAAGCAAUAACCAGGCAAGCCAACAUAGUCUGAAAACAAAGCAGCACAAACCGCCAUCGGAGGAGAAUCAUGCCAAGUUAAAGAUGGAGAAGACAAUCCCAUGUUAGCAAAAUUGUCUGCAACAAGAUUUACUUCACGAUGUACAUGAGAUACAUAGAAAGUCAUUUUCCGAAUACGAUCUAAACAAAUAGACCAUUGCGUAUGAAGAGGCCAAGGAGGAUCAAAAUUAGACGAUUGAAGAGCAUAAAUAACACUAGAACUAUUACUUUCAAACCAAAGACAAUGCCAACCCUAUUGAUAUGCAAACUCAAUACUAAUAAUAAUUGCUAAUAACUCUGCAAAAAAAAAAAAAAAAGUUGCGAUGACCAAUGCAUUGACAGAAACCUCCAAGAAAACAACCAUGACAAUUCCUGAAAAAUCCUCCACAUGUAGCAGGAUCAGAAUUUCCUUUAGACAAACCAUCUGUAUUAAGCUUAAACCAAGGAAACCAAAGGACAGGAAGAAUAGUAGGUGCCUUGCGAGGGAUAGGUUGGAUCCCCAAAGAAGAAAUGAUCCGAGUGUCAAAACCUUGAGAAUAACCAGAAAUAAACUUCCCACCAUGAACAAUCGCCGAAUUGAUAGAAAUGCAAAAGACGAUGAAAAUAGAUUGGACGACCCUAAAAAAUAAAUUUAUUUUGAGCCUUCUAAAUAGCUGAAAUAGUAGAAAGACCCGCAAAAAUCCAUAGAUUGUGCAACUGUUUGGAAAAUGGCUUACAGACAUAGACAUCCCAAAAAACAACCAAAGAAUCUGAAAGAGGCAAAAAUGUACCAAAUUAACAUACUAACCACCUCCAAAGUUGCCUAGAUAUCUGACAUCCAAUGCUGCCGAUGAUGGUGAUGAUUAUAAUUAUAAUGAUGGAGGCUGCGAUUCAAAAAGAUCAUUCGAUUUCUCCUCUUUCAAAGCCGACAUCCUCUCCACUCGCAACUUUGAAUACGAUUGGUGCGGAGAAUCUUUUGAGACUGCUCACGCAGCCGUGCUUGGUUGCUUUGCCCUGUAAGUUUCGUCGGUAAGGUUAACUUUCCAAUUCUAUCCCAUUUUCUGUAUUUGCUUUCUCCUGCGUGCGGCCUUAACUUGUAACUGUACUACGUAGGAAAGCAUUAGUCAAUGUAUUUCCUGUGCACACACUAUCACUUGAGGAACAAGUUCGACUGCAUUGUUUGCGAUUUAAGUCAAUCUAGACCCUGCAUUGCAACUCGCAUUGGGUCUUACUGGAACUACUUACAGCGAGCAUGCAAAACCCCCUGCGUGUUGAUUGAGGUUCUGAGGGGGAACACUCCAUCAAGCACGUUGAAGAUAUGGUCUGUAGCAGCAUUGCUUGGAAAUUGGAAAUUGGAGAUCUGCCUAGCUAGCUACUAUUUCUGUGUCUAGCUCCUCAUGUAGUUUUCUGUUAGGUAAUUUUUUUUUUUUUUUAAAUGGAAGAACAGGCAUUUUAUUAAAUAAAAAAAAAUAUUUAGUCAUAUUUUUAGGCUUAUUAUAUUUAUACCCUACAUAUUGUUGAAUAAACCUUAUAUACUUAAUACACCUCAUAUUUACUUUUUCAAUUAAAAUUUAUCUUAAUACACCCCAUUUACUUUCCCAUAUUACCCUCCCACCCCCAUUCUCAACAUACACCUUACAUUUUCUAUAUACACCCCAAAUUUUUUAUAACUCAGUCACAAUCAAGAUUGGAGGAAGAUAAGGCUGCUGAGACUUUGUUGAAGGUGGCAGACGAGGUUAUACGCUGAGGUUUAAUGACAAAAAUUCGAGGGUAAAAGCAGCAAGGGAAAGGAGAACAAUUAGAGGGUCUCUUGUAAUGUGAAUGGCACUAGGACUUUGCCCAGAUUGGCAAAAACGUAGCUGAAUGUUGAUGUAGUUUUAUUGCAUUUUCAGAUGUAUGAAAAAAAAAAACAUAUUUAUUUAUUGGUGUUGAAUUGCAGAACAAAGAUUGUGUUUAGCCAUUUUAUUACUAUUAUCAUUUCUUUAAAUUGGGGUUAUGCCGUGAGAUGAUAUACAUAAGGAAAUAUUGUUAAUUUCUUCGCACUCCAUUCAAGUUCUAACCUUGUAGUUUCAUCAUUUUGCUUGCCUUUGCUGGGAAGACAAAAAAAAUAGAUAAAUAAUACGUUAAAAGUGAUUUGAGGUUUAUUCAGAAUUUUUUUAUAUUUUUAAAAAACUAAUAAGGUCAAAAUUGACAUUGUAUAGAGUGUAUAAGUUAUUUAAUAUCGAAUUUGAAUGUGAGGUGUAUUUAUCAGUACGGAUGUGUACAUCUUUUAUUGGCACGGAAGUACUUAUCGAUUAUGCAUUGAAUUUUUUAGUAAUUUAAUUCAAAAUGUGAAGUAGCUUUUGUAAAGUUACCGAAAGCGCCGUGACGGAGAUGAAGAUGGAAAUGGUGUAAAACUUUUGACGAGUUGAACCGAAAGCGCCGUGACGGAGAUGGAGGUGGAGAUGGAGAUGAGGGCCGGGGAAGAAAUAGAGAUAGGACAAGACAUAACGCCACCGCUCCCUCCGCUUUCUUCCUCUCUCCACCACUCCCUCCUCUCAUCUCACUGCUCUUCCUGCUUCUCCCCUCUCCCUCCCCAACCCUUCCCUCCCCUCUUUACUCCUACCUUUCCCAACACUCCCUCCUCCUACUACUGCUCCUCCCUCUGCUCCUCCGCCGAUUCUCCCCUCCACGUCUCCAGCGCCGAGCCCUACCUUCUCCUGCUUCUCCAAUCCCACCCCUCCGCCUACCCCAACGGCGACUCCUCCGACCUCCGCGCCGCCCUCCGCCUCCUCCAAUCCCUUCCCGCCACCUCCCCCUACCCUCGCGUAGCCGGCCUCCUGACGAAUCGCCACAAACUCCUCCACCACCACGACCAUAGGGUUCGCGACGGCGCCAGAGCCAUGUUCCUCGCCAGGAAGAUGCGGGAUGAAUCUCCGAAUUUCUCUAUCGAUGCGACUAUUGCCAACGUUGCUCCGCACGACGCCGUAUUGGAGGAGGCCGUGCUGUCAUUGGUGCUAACGAACGCCGUGGAGGUGCAGGAUAAGACCGGGCGCACCCUUGGAAUUUCCGUCUACGGUCCCAGCUUCUGCUGGAUCAACCACAGCUGCUCCCCGAAUGCUUGCUACCGCUUUUCUUUGAUGACACCGCCAACGCCACCUUGUUGGCCCGAAACGGCGCUGCUGCGCAUUGUCCCCUUCGGCCGCUCCUCCGGUCGUGCCACACAAGUAAUCCCUGCAAAUUUGCACCGUUUGUUUAAUUUAUAGUGGAAUAAGAUUGAAAUUCAGGGUUGUGAGAUGGAUAUUUGUUGCAGAUUGAGAAUGGUGUUUGUAGCAAUAAUGUGUUAGCAAAAGGUGUUGUGGUUUUUUUAAGUUUUCGUGCUUCUUUUCGGUUUUUGUUUGUUUGAAUUAGUACACCAAAUUUACCAGUAUUAUUGAACCAUUCGUGUAUAUUACGAAUGUAGAAAGCCGAGGUUAUGGUCCAAGAGUGACGGUUAGGAGCAUCAAGAGAAUCAAGAAAGGCGAAGAAGUGACUGUUACUUACACUGAUUUGUUGCAGCCUAAGGUAUCUGCAUUUUAUCUAUAUACACAUUAUACAUGGAUCAGCGAUUGGAAUUUUGAAUUCAUAUAAUCCACAUCUGUUUUGUCAAGUUAACUGAGCGAUGUUUCGAUGACUGUGAGAUGAGAAUUUGCUAGUGUCAUUUUCUGCUUAUUGUCCCUGUCUUAGGAAACUAAACUUGAUGAGACAAUGCAAGGCAAUCCGACUUCUUUCCACUUUAGGGAUUAGCUAAAUCUUGCCCCAUUUGACUUUUCUUUUACUUAUUUCCAAUUUUAAUUGUGUUGAUGUUAUAUUUUAAUCCCUUUCUUUUAACGUCACAUUUUCUUUUCUUCUCAUGAGCUCCUCCAGGCAAUGAGGCAGUCAGAGCUAUGGUCAAGGUAUCGGUUUAUCUGCUCUUGUACGCGAUGUAGUGCAUCACCCCUAACCUACGUGGAUCAAGCUUUGGAGGUGGCAAUUCAUGAAAACUUUUUCUUUCUUUCUUGAUAUUCUCAAUUAAAUACUAAUUCUUAAGUCUAUUUGGAGUUCUUCCGUAAUAUCUUUAUACUAUUGAUUUUACAGAAAUUAUAAAUGCACUAGGAUAUUUGUACUUCUAGAUUCUUGUUUUUGUAUCCCCCCCUGUAUAUAGUUUGGCCUUCACUUUGAACAAAAGCUCUUUUUCAACUUGAACAUGAAUUACCUCCUAACCAUUUUUCUUCCUCUCUGGCAGUCAACUUUAUUUCCUAGGAUGUAGCUAAUGUUCUUAUUGGUGUUUUUUGAAUAAUCAUUAACCUUCGGUUUCAAAACUCCAGGAAAUAUUUGCAGUCAAUUCCAACUCCUCCAGUUUGAGUUUAGAAAUAAACUUCAAUAGAGAUAAGGCAACGCAAUUGUUGAGUGUUUACUUUGAUGAUGCUAUUGACGACUACCUGUCGAGUGGCGAUCCUGAAUCUUCUUGUGAGAGGCUUGAGCAUGCGUUCACACAAGGACUCUCUGAUAUGCAAUUAGAUUGCAACGGAGAAACAUCUCAGCUGAGAUACUGGUUGCACCCAUUAAAUUACCUCUCCCUAAAUGCCUACACAACAUUGGCUUCAGCGUAUAAAAUCCGUGCAACUGACAUGAUAGCUUUAUGUUCUAAAAUGGAUGAUCAUCUGUUAAAAGCUUUGAACUUAAGCAGGACUAGUGCAGCAUACUCCUUACUACUUGCUGGUGCAACUCACCAUCUGUUCCGCUCUGAAUCGUCUCUAAUUGUAUCUGUUGCAAAUUUCUGGACAAGCGCAGGGGAGUCAUUGUUAACUCUUGCUAAAAGCUCAGUCUGGAGUGAGUUUGUCCACCGGGAUCUGCCUGUGUCAAAUCCAUGUUCCACUGCAAGUUAUAGAUGUCCAAAAUGCUCAUUGAUAGACAAAUUUGAAGCUUGUUUAUUCUAUGGUCAAGUUCAACAUGCAGAUUUUGACGAUGUCUCAAGUGAAUUCAUUGAUUGCGUCUCUAACUUUACACAGAAUGUUUGGAAUAUUUUGGCUCUCAGUUGCCAGUACCUUAGAUUGAUUAAGAGUCCUAUUGAUUUCAGUUGGCUUGGUACCACAAAAGAUUCCAGUGUAGGGGAAGUUCUGAUUCGGUCUAGUGGCACUAAAGCGGGUUCUUGUGGGACUGAGAGAAGCAUUUCUGGAAGUGAAGCAGAGGGAUACACAGCCCAGGUACGGAUAUGUAUUUUUAAGCUCGGUGUCCAUUGCUUACUAUAUGGAGGAUAUCUAGCGAGCAUAUGUUAUGGUAAUUCCCAUUUGACCUGUUAUGUUCGUAAUAUUUUAGAUAUGGAAGGGAUAUUAUUGAAUCCUUGUCAUGAACCAAAUUGAGUUUGAGAUCUUAGAAGUUAAAUUAUUCCUGUUUUGGUGUUAAUUGCUGUGUUAUUAUACUCGUUAAGAAUCUGUUAAAAAUGUUGGUUGCAUAUAUCGUCUUCUCUGCUUGUGAUUUUUCGCCUCGAACUCUAUUCGUCUUGCAUGAUGCCCCAAGGAAUCAGCCACACGUAUCAGAAGUUUGUGUCAACGGAUUCAAUUUGAUAGACUACAGUGGGUUUCAAAAUAGAAUAAUCCGCUAUAGCUGUUUCAUAUAUCAUUUCGGUUCAGUCAAAUUAAAGAACCAAAAUUGAAAUCACAAUUGGAUUCGAUUUGGAAACAUCUGAAAUACAAAAUUGAAACCACAAUCGAAUUAAAGAACAAAAAUUGUCAUCUCCUGAUGCAUCCCUGUUUCUAUUUGUGUUCGUGUUUGUGUCAAAAAUACAUCGUAAGAAUGUUAUAACAGUUGCAUACUUAAAGCGACGCCCUACUGAAUGUUACAAUAGAUGCAUACAAGACCGUCGCUAAUGUCAAUGUUUCUUCUUUUUGUUGGACUUUGAGUUGGAGCCAUGCUCAUUUUUAUGUCGCUUUUCCCCACUCUUGUGACUCUCUCUCUGUUUUCCUUUAUCCAUUUUGUUUCUACUUGAUUUCACGCUAACGAGACCACCAGCAGGUAGGUUUGCACCGCCAUUCUGUAAUGCAUUCUCAAAGUCUGCAUCUCUGUCCCCAAUCGCGUACUGUUGAAGCAACUUGGGAUCUAAUGACCCCUCCGAGUUGGAUCUCAUCCCAUCCUGUAUGUGCGUAGUCAAGUCAGCCCAACUCUUGGGAUUCAGAACGCGGGAAAGAGAGGCAGUUCAGGUAACACGAAGGUAAGGAAGGAAUAAAGCGUACCUCAACUUUUCUUGCAGCAUCAUUGAGAUCAUCAUCAACAGAGAUCUUGUGAGGUUCCAAGAGAGUCUGAACCAAAAUUUCCGAAUCAGAGUGGAGUUACAACAUAGGCAGAAGAAAAGCACAGUAGCAUACAUACACGCACGCACGCACAAUUAUAAUGUGAUAGACGAUGUUUAAGCUUGCAUUAAGAAACACAAUAAUGUAAACUUAGCGAUUACAUAUCAAACAAAAUAGUUCAGGUACCAAAGUGGCUCACGCGCAACACACAUGUCAAUAUCAUAUAGUUAAGCCAACUAGAAUCAUAAUGCAUCCUACGACAUGAAAUUAUUAGAAAGAGAUGGAAACCACCAACAUAUCAUGUACUUUCCAUAAGAAAAAAAAGGGUUACUGCUUUGCUGAACUUACUUCUUUUGGUUUAGGCAAGGUUGACACAAGGCCCUCAGAUGCAAUAGCGUAUAGAUAUUUGUGAAACUUUUUCAUAACUUUUAUAAACAGAGACAAUAUUUGCUGCCUUUCCAGUUUCAUCAACCCCUGGAAAACGUGAAUGUAAGUAAAAAUCUACACCUGAUAAGAAUGAAAUAAAGAGCAGAAAUGACGCCACCAAGUAGAGUGUUUUGUCUUUGCAAGUGGGUUUGAUUGCGUGCUCGCAUUGCAUCUAUGUGACUGGUAUAGCCAAGCAAACCAUAUGAGUAACAAGUAGAGAAACAAACCUCAAUAUAGGAGAUAUCUUGAUUCUGUAAGCCAAUGCAGAGCAAUAUGGAAGCCUGGGCACCUGUCAAUGUCACUGGAAGUUUCUCUUGGAAAUACAGAUGUGAAAGCGUUGGAACAAGAUCCAAAAUCUGUAAAAUAAAAGCAUAACUUUAACAUGUGUAAAGUUAUAAACAAACGAUAACUAGAGUACAAGAGGACCUCAGUUUAGAAAAUGACACUUAAUUUCAAAUUCAAAUGGACCCCAGGGUUUAAACUGUAAUUUUAAAAACAAUUCGCAGGUAAUUUGAAGAAAGUAAGGUCUGUUGGUUAAGGAUGAAAAUGCAAUAAGCCCUCGGAUCCCUCCUCCCCACUAUCAUCUAUGCCUAACAGGAGGAAGAACAUCUUGACACAUUCAAACUGGCAGCCUUUCCCAAAAAACAGAAGGAAGCAGAUAAUCCACUCAAACCAUAAUCAACAAAAAUGGACGACAUGCCAUUGACCAGGAUGCACUGCACCUUCCUGAGAACCGCACAACAAAUGGGUUCACCUCCCUCAGGGGCAUACCCACAAGGGGGUGGGAUUGGGUGGGAGGGGAAGAGAAGGGGUCUAAUAGCCUAAUCGCUGUUGAUUUCAUCUUUUUAUGUAACACAGAGCACGGGAUGAAACAUCGGCCACAGAAUCCUACACACAAAUUACUUGUAAAGUACACAAAUUCCCCUUCUCAAACAAGCAAUUUUGAACUUUUAAUGUGUAACUGAACAUAUAUAUACAUAUAAUUAGAUCAAUAACUAAACACAAUGUCCUAAUAGUUCACUUUUGAAAAAGAUUAUUCAUAAAACAUUGCAAGAGUAAUAUAUGUUCACAAUCAUGGUAUCAGAUUGUCCACAGUAAGAAAACAAAUAUUUCACCACUGUCAACUAAAAAUUGUAUCACAAUCACAAUCAUAUUGCCACACUGAGACGAUAAUUCUAUCACAAAGGAAUACAAUUUUUCUUUUGUAAUGCAAUAUUACUUUCUUUUUCUAAAGGAAAGCAUAUUUUGUCUUGUAACGCAAAUAUCUUUUUUGAUUCUAAGGGAAGUAUUUCUUGUUCUGUAAUGCAAACAUUACUUCUAUUUUUAAUAUGAAUGUAUGGAAUCAAUUAGUAAUCCUAAGAUAAAAAAAUCCCAAAACACUACAUAGCACUAUGACAGGGCAAGUUGGCAAUCAACCAUUGUUCAGAGAACUUACCAUAUGAAAGUCAGCAAGACUGCUGGUGUAGGCCUCCAGUCGCUUCAUAUCAUAAGGCGAAAGUAAGUCUGUGAUAGACCGUAAGAAUCCAUCUGUGGUAGACGAUUUGGGUUCUCCAUCCUUGUAAUUGAUCUUAGGAUCUAAGAUGCUGGAAAAUUAUUAGUUAGUACGAGCACUUGAACAAUAAGCAUUUAUCAGAAUGGAACUUUUAAUAGUACCUCAUAGCGAGCCUAUAAUCCAUUGUACGAAAACUAUAACCCAAUAGUCUCAAAAAUCUUCUCCUGAAAUCUAGGUAGCCAACAAAUAAUCAAGCUGUGAACUGAAAUACAAAAAAUCUGCACAAAUUUAAAUAGAACAAAGGUUUUCCAAAGAAAAAUGGGCCCACCUAGGUUGAAUGGACGAAAAUCACUGGUUUCAAGUUCAUCAUUCUUCAAAGAUUUGAGGACCAUACACGUAUGCUCCCCGGUCACACCACUCUAUUACAUUGAAAAGAAAAAUGAAAAAUUAUUGUUUAAUCAGUCAUUCAUUCACAAAUGAUAAUAUUCAAAAAAACAGUAAACGGAAAAAAGGAUUCAGUAUGGAGAGGGGAAUCCAUCUUAACUGGAAUAUGUCCAAUAUAGAAUGGAGCAAACUUAUGUUUCCACCAAAACCUGAAAAGGUCCAAGGUAAGCCCAAAGGAGACACCAAUAUAAUGGAGCUUCUCUGGUCGCCUUUCACGAAGAUGAACAAGCAAAUGAGGAAGAUCUGUUCUAGGUUUUAUACUUUCUUCCAGCAAUGAAACCUAUAAAUAAAAUAGACAUAGGUAUCAUUCCGAUAAACAAUAUCAAGGCACAGGCGGCAGGUUGAUUAAUACCAAACAAACAAACCAAUACAUGAUAAUAUACUUUGAUGUCAUUAUGAUUAAAAUUAACACAACAAAUGAUCAUUCACAAAAGUUUGUCAAAUUAUAUUCAAACACAGAAAUUGUUCUACAAUCACCGGAAUGAAGCUUAACCAACUCAAACACUUCGACAGAACAAGAAUUGCAUUACCAGAAACCUAUGAGUUACAAAAUUGCCUCCAAUUGCAAUAAUAAUACAUAGAAUAGUCUCGUAUAAGCAGUUCUCCAACCUAUUAAUUAAAAAUAUUUAUAAAAAAAAAAAAACUAAGCUUGGUGAUUGUAGUUCACCUUCUCAGCAGCUUCUGUGACUCUGAGUGGGGGAGUCUCAACAUCUUCAACGUCCAGUUCAGAAAUAGGAGCAAACUGUCCUUCGUAGUACCUGAGGAGAAAUAAACCCUUAACACCCAUUUUUUCAAAUAUAAAAACAUAAAUGUGAAGCAUCAACUUUUAGAACCAAAGAGAUUCAGUGCAAUUUUCAUGUCAAAACACUUUUAUCUCAAUAAUGAAGUACUUAUGAGUUACAUUGAUACAAGAGCAAUGCAUCCCACAUAUCACACACAUUCCUUAUAUCUGGAUCCCCAACAAUAGCAAUCCAAUGUCACCCACAUAGCACAUGAUACAUACCAGAGGUGUCCCUAGAAUGUCCACAUCAGCCAUUCCUUAUAUCUGUGUCCCCAAAAACAUUUGCAGUAAAAAGUACAUGGACUUAUGAGCACAAAGGGAUAACGGACAUGUAUGGGUUGACUUGAGAGAUAAACCAAGUAAAGUAAGUUCAAGAAAAAAUCUAGGACCAAAUAGGAUACAAGGUCAGAAUCAGUGUGACCCAUCUAAAAAGUUAGGACCCCACAUUAAUUUGUGCAGUCAACAACGAGGAUCCAUCUUUGGAUUAUUAUCCUAAAACGCUCUAUCUUUGGAUUAUAUCCUAAAGUGCUGCUGGUUAAGCUUGUUUCUGGUUUUUCUCUGUUGGAAAUUUCAAUUACUAACGAAAUAUCCAAUCUUCAUUUAAACAUACAGAUUUAAACUCAACUGUUGGCACUGCAGACUCUUGGCCAUUGUUGGGAUUGAAAUAAGCUAGAGUUUCUCAAGAUAAAUGCGGAUGAGGUGGGUUUUAUUUGAGAUAGCGAAUUCCAUGUGUUUGUGGAUUUAUUGCCAAAGCAAUUUGGGAAGAUCCCUGCUGUUUCCUCCAGAUGGAUGGGGUUAUAAUUUCAUUGUAACUUUUCUGAAGUAAGUUUUAGUUGGACUCCUUUUCUUUGCAAUGGACAACUUCUCCUCCUUUCCUUUAGAAAAUGCUUUGCUUUGCUGAAUUUUUCGUAACUCUUAGAAAUGUAACCCAAACUAAGAUGAAAACCCCCAACAUGACCGUAUUUUAAUAUGCUAUCACUUCUAAUCCUCUAUAUCUUUCCACUUGUUUCUCCAACUACCAUCAUAUGACUCGAGAGUUGUAUUGUGAGAAAGUCAUCUGUAUAUCAAAACUGAAAUCAAAUGAUCAUCUCUUCAGCACCCACAUGGUCUAUGUUCUAUAGCUUUCAACCCAAGUGAACUGAAAGCAUGAGACUCACAUUUUGAGUUGCGACUUUAUGUGCCUGAGCCAGGGUGCAUAUGCAUGAUUGCUUUUCAUUCAUUUUAGAAAUCAUUUGAAGCAUUGCUUCAGACAUAUAAUCUUCAAUCUUUUCACCUUUUUUUUUAUGACAAACAGUAGCGUUAGUGGGUUAAAAGUUUAUUUGUUAGGGGGAGGGGAAUCGAUGGGCAUCAAACCCGCACCAGGGUGCAUAUGCAUGAUUGCUUUUCAUUCAAAGUGUAGCAAUAUGGGGCUAAAAGAAUCACUCAGUCAAUCUUUCUCAACACCUUAGGCAUCCACAUACACAUUGGGAUCAUGUAUGUGAUCUACAAAAACGUUUAGGUGGGGAAUAACUCAAAGAGGAGCAUACCUUGUCAAUAGUUCCACUGCUUGUGAUCCAUAUCCAAUCUACAACAACGAAAAAUAAAUUACCAUUUCAACAGAUCCCUGGUUAUAGAUUACCAUUUCAACAAAAUCCUGGUUAUACAUAUUGCUUUGGAAACCAUAAUGAGAGAAUACCUUCAUGGCACUUGGAUGUGUAGCAAUUCGUACAAUCCGAGCACCUGAAAGACUGGGAAAAACUGUGUCCUGAAAUUGCUCACAGAAUUUCCAUGGUAUCUGGUCACCAGAAGGCUGAUGACCAUCACUUAAACUUUUCAUUGCAGAUUCACGAGAGAUCUUUCCCUCAAGGCAGACCUAAGAACAAAAUGAUAGCACAUAAAAUGUUGAGCAUCAAAGAAUUAGUGUUUUAUAGAAGAUGAAGUACGUGUUUAAAGUGUUGUCCUUUAUUGCUAUUUCACAUAAGGUAAAAUUAUAAAUAAAAAAACUAAUAAAAUUUUGGGUAUGCGUUAAAUAACUAAAAGAAAUAAUAGUCCUGAACUAGGGGAAGACAGUCAAACCUGAAUGACACACAAAAUAUCAGGAAGCUGAUUUUUUGACUCAUCAACAGGGCCUGCACGUGCAAAUUAUAAUCAAGUCCAGCCAAAUAGCGGCAAAAAAAGAAAGACCAGUUCUAACGUAACAUAUAUACCAAGUAGCACAAACAGGUGGUGAGCCGGGGCAUCAGCCAUUAGUUGCAAAUCAUUUGGAGAAUUUUUGUAGUGGGAGGCAACAUAUAGAGCCAUCAUCCGCUGCAAGUAUUAGAAUAUGUAAGUUCACUAAUAUGAAAAUGAGAAUCACUAGUCUGACAUUACUUGAACAUGUAAUUACCUGUAAGAACAACUCGCUAUCUUUAUGAUAUGAAAAAAGCGUAUCACAGUUUACGUAGUACAGAUCGCACUCACUGGGUGCAGGUAACCUAGCCGCCAAGAGAGAGAGAAGAGAGAGAGAGAUCAUUAAUAAAGGUAAGGGUUAUAAUGGAGAUGGUUACAUCUUCCUCGGUUCUGACUGUCUAAGCAAAUGUUUUUACCCGUUAAGUUUAGGGAUAUAAUUUGUGAUAUCCAAGCAAAGUAAACCAUGAAGCCAGGAUUCAAUCGGAUCACCAGAAGCAUAUCUGAUAGAUUCUUUCAAUUCUAUCUUUUUGAAAAGACGACCUACAAUCAGGGACAUUUAUCAAUUCAGAAAAUUAUGUCCAAAUAUCACAAAAUAGUUUUUAAAAAAUUAUACAUUGCUCACUUGCAAGCGCCAACAGUUCAAGUAUUUCAGAAACAAUAAUGUUAAGAGAAAGCAGAAGAAACAUUGAAUUUUGAAAAUAAAUUCAAGUUUUGGGGGGAAAGGGGGAUUUUGAUCCAACCUAAUUCAAGAUGAGAAUACAAAACACGGCCAAUAAGGAAUAAGCAUACCAGAUGUAGGCCCCUUAGCAGACACUUGGCUUUGCUCUUCCAAUUGCUGUAGAAGUUUUAGGGACAAAGACCGACCAGUACCUUCAUAGCUUUCAGUGUAAAAUAAAUGUCCUUUAGUAUUUAAAUUGCACUUAGAUUUUUUUUUUUUUACCAAAAGUUGAAUUCAGAGUUGACUUAUAAAUAGAAAGACAUCAAGCAUGAGUCAAGGAAAAGUGGAAACAGCCCAUGAAAAGUGAAAGAUCUUUCAUUCCCCCCCGCGGCCGUAACAGAAAGUGAAAAAGUGAAGUGAAAUAUGUUUCAUGAGACUGUUAAAACCAAAAAAGAACACAUGAUAAGAAUACACGACAUGAAGGAAGAAGAACAUGGAUGAAUCUUACCCAUUAACAGUAGAUGAAAGGAAGACCAGAUAAGGACCAAGCAAAGACUUCACUACUGGUAGUGGAAUAGCAGCUGCUUCAUCAACAACCAACAGUUCAACUUGGGAAAGCUUUUCAUGCUCAUGUGGCCGUAUAUACUGCAAGUACAAGUAACAAAAGUAAAAAACAAAUAGCCCCAAAAGCAAUGAGCAGUACAAAGUUCUUUCUUUUAGGCUACAUGAGGUGUAAAGGUCUAGACCACCUCACAAUCUCACAGGCAUGUUGAGUGCCUCUAUACCAUACAUACUGGAUUAGUGCCAGGAAGACACAUUAGGUUGACCAAAAAGUUUGGCGUUUCAGGAACAUGCUUUUAGAAGCAAGCUUCAGUAAUCACAAACCAUCUAAAUUAUGUUCAAUAUGCUCACACCAAUAACAAAAAUGAUGCACUUGGGCAAAAGUACAAUAGAAUUUUUGGAGUAGUCAAACAAAGACAACCACUAAUCAUAUAUGAGGGCAUACGACAUUUGAUGGGCAAAAGGUGAACACACUCAUGGCUAUUGUGAUGCGGCUAUCCAAUAGAAGAAUAUUCUCUAUUACAACUUGGUUAUCAACUUUUCAUGAGUAACAAUUCCUCCAUGUAUUUGUAUUUUGGUAUCAACUGACUAAACAAAAUCUUUAUUGCUAUUUUUUUAUAGAAAACGAGAUUUUAUUAAACAGCUAAAAAACAAUACAACACUUAGUGGACUAGGAAGUCCACCAUCAAAACGAAACAGCCCUGACAUAUGCCUCAACAUUCACCUCCAUCAUUAUAAAACAGAUCUGCAACUAUCUCACUGCAACUCCCCAAUCCAACAAAAUUACAUAAAAUGAAAGAUCCCAAAACCUUGGAGAGAGAGAAGCCAUAAGAAUGCCCAAUUCUUUCCCAAGAAUUCUCUUGUAAAUCCCCACUCUAAUUUUCAAAGGUUGCAAACUUGAAAUUAACAUAGAAGGUAACUGGCUUCAGAGUCAACUAGGAUAAUACUGGGCAUAUAUGCAGAGAGUAGGCAUAGUAGCAACUUUCAGGGUAUGGAAUAAUACAAAAGGAAAGGGAAGACCACAGAAUUCUCUCAGUCAUCUUAACUUGAUUUGGUACUAAGAAUAAGUUAUGUAUACACUUCCCACUGGCCCAUCUGUACGUUAAUAUAGAAAUAGAUUAUAUCCUGGCAACAAGGAAGUGAAAUACUCCUAUUUUUAUAUCAAUAUUGGGCACAAAUUAAGAGUUCAUCAAUAUAAUUUUACCUCAAUUGUAACCAACUGUGCAUAUAAGUUUACCUGAAUUGUUUGUCUGUGCUGCUUGUAUAUAUUGAUCUGUACAGUUGCUUUCUUCAACAAAGGGUCACUACUUUUCUGUACAUCAUAAUCUAUAUGUUCCUGCAAACAUAGUUUACAACUGUAAGCUCAAUAACUAGUGCACUGUUCGAAGUACAUGAUUGAAAAAUGAAGAAAACGGAGUGACCUUAUAACAAUUAAUGAAAGAUAAAAUGUAGUUCACAGAAUAAAACAUUCAAACACCACCAUCUUGAUAGUUAAACAAUUUCACUGUAAAAGCUAUUAAACUUAGCAGGAAAAAAAAUUUAAACUUUAUCUAACAUUUGAAUCUACAAUUUUCAAUUAGCAACUCUUGUCACAAAUGUUUAUUAGUGGGGUACGUUCUAAGAUAUUGUUAUUUGCUAAUUGUCGAGGAUUAUUUGGGAGUUAAAUCUCACAAGAAGGCGUAAAGAUCACAUUAGAAUUAGAUAUUUUACUAGGAAGCUAAAGAUCACAUUAGAACCACCCGCAGGAAUACAAAAAAACGACAUACCUUAUAGUCCAGUUGAUCAAAACCCUUGCAAACAAAUUCGAACAAGGUUCUUAAGUUCUCAGGGCUGGGUGCAGUUACAAAUAUAUUUGAAUACCUGUGAAGAUAUAUUUGUAUCGUCAAAACAUAGUACAUGAAUAUGAGUGUAGACAGCUACACAUACACCAAAACAGUUUUAAUACAUUGUAAAAGGCAUACUACCCUGCAGCAAUAGCUCCGGAAAUUGCCAAACCAAGUGCAGCCGAUUUUCCACGGCCUCGAGCAGCAAGCAAGGCAACAGUACUUCGGAGUGUCUUGUCCAAGAUUGCAUCAAGAAAUGUAGCAACAGCAUUUCCCUGUUGAAACAUUUACCAACUCAAACUAUGAGUCAUAUUAGUAAAUCACACAUGAUAGAAAAACUCAAAACUAAUACAAAUCAGAGAGAGUGCCUACCUGGUCCAACGUACAACAUUUCUUUAUUAAAGGGCCAACAGGAAAGGCAUCACUCAGCUGCUCUUUUAGAUCCUUCAGUUCCCUUUGUGACUCUGAUAUCCCUUCAGAGUCCUUCAAUCAUGAUCAGAAAACAAGAAAAAAGUUAUCAAAGUUAUCAAAGCUUCACAAACUCCUAGAAAGUAUCCUAAUAACCAUUCGGUAUACACACACUUGAAAAAUUACUUUUAUUCUUUUUGUCAUCUCGCAUAAGAUGCCACGAAAAUAAAGCAUUCCUCGAUUUAUCAGUUCCGUCCUAUAGAAAAGUUACAAGGCUAAAAGGUUACCUCUUUCACUGGAACUGGGGUAAUUGACCUCAUAUGAGAUGAAAUUGGUAAAAUAUUCAGCUCAUCAUCCAUUACUACACAUGAUUUGCAUGACGCAAGUGACAAUAAGAAACGCUCGUUAAAACGUCCAGUAGCCUUAGAAUGGGAUUCAGUUCGAAACCUAUCAUGAACAUCCUGAAAUCAAGAGGCGCUGAUAAGACUGUAUGGAGAUUUUUGCAUUUGAGAGAACGAGAAAGACAGUGUUGCAAAUAAAACAUGACAUAACGGAAUUGUUAUCAAAUAUAAUAUGUGGUGCAUGGCUAUUGCUAUAUUCGUUCUAAGUCCAUAAUGUAGUAAAACUAGAAACUACCUCAACAAGAAGAACAAAUAUUAUGAGGAAACCUAGUUGUUUUUUCUUCUUCUUUUUGGGGCUAGAACAUGAAAAGAAACAACUAGUCUACAUAGGCCCAACUGGGAAACUUAUAUGUUCAGCAGCAUUCUCUUAAAGAAAGUCAAGCAAUUGAAUCUACCAAAAGUCUUCUUGUAGCCAAGCACAUCAUUACGAAAAAAUUCGGAAACUUUUAACAUGGCUAGUUUUCAAGAUUUUGCGGUAUAUAAUAAGCAUAACCAUGCUGGCCUAAAAACUAAGCAUUAAUUGUGUGCAUGCGUAAGAGAAAGAGGUAUUAUUAUAUGCAUACCAUAACCAUGGUGUAGAGGUUGGUGAGUGAGGUUAGAGAAUGAAGCAACAAUAUGACUAGUCCACCUCCCUCCACUGUCUCUAUCGUUCUUGCUAGUAGAUUUGGAGUCAAGGCCUCAAAAUCCUAAUGCAGGAGAUCAAACUUAGUCAUAAAACUUAAAUCAAUUAUACAAGGGGUCUUGGCCAAACCAGUAAAUUUGUAAGUUUCAAGUUACCUGAAGUAUACACAUUCCAAAGGUAUUACCAAGAACUCUUUCUGAAUCCUUGUACAAGCAAUAAGUCAAUCCCCCACUUUCAACAAAAAGUGAGAAAGGAUCAACCUUCUCGGGAUCAAGCAGCCCCCUCUGCAUCAUCUUUUUUACUUGCUUAGCACGUUUUUUCUUGUGACUGCAUCAUGAAGUAGUCAAACGCAACGAAUCAAUAUAUUUUAAAAACGAAAUUCCGCCUUGCCUUAUAAUAAGGUGAAGAAUGGAAGGUAGAAGAAAUCAACCUGCUGAGCUCGAGCUUGUCCUUGUAGCACCACAACACAGUCGGGCGCGAUUUCUUUACUUCAUUGCUUAGCAUAUAAUGAAGAUUCACAAUCUGAAGACCAUAUAAAACUCCAUAUUAGCCAUUUUCCGUUAGUUUUCGAUAGAUUUUCGAUGAUAUUUCUUACCUUGUUUGAGGUUUUUAGUGUUACUCGGUGAGUAUUGCAGGUGAAAACAAGAAACAGUAAAACUGGUAAAAUUUUCUACCCAAUUCAAUUUAAAUCAUUGUUAUAACUCCUCAAAUUGAAUAGGAAUAGCAAAUAGGGAAUGGGAUAGGAAAGGCAGAAGAAAUUAGGAGUACCUGGUCACGGGAUUUGUCGCCGACGAUGACGAACAUGGAGCGGUGCCGGUUUUUGACGCCAUUGCUUAUUAGGGUUCGGAUUCGUUCGUCCACCUUCUUCCUCAUUCUCUCUCUCUCUUCUCUCUCUGUGCAAUUAGGUUUAGGGUUUAUACCAUAGGGCAGUUGUCGUCGUCGGGCAGGGUUUAAGCCGAACUAGUGAGAGAGAGACUAGACAUCGCGGAGAGAUAUUGAGUUCAUCUCAACCGUUGAUUGGCUAUCUGAUGGCUGUUAUCAAAGCUGACAUAAAAAUGAAAACUCAACACGUGGCCAAGUAUUUUUUUUCUCUCUUUUUUGGCUUAUUUAUUGAUUUGCCCCAGAAAUUAUUUUUUUUGUCUUACUCUAGGUCAUGAAACAGAAUUUAUCUUACUUUAUCUUCUAAAACUACCAAAAUCGAGUCAUUUCACCCAUGUUUUGUCAAUUCUAUCUCAUAAACGUUAAAUAAAAGGGAGUCUAAACAUUUCAUACCAUGCUAGCAAAGAUGAGCCACUGUUGUUGGUGAGGUACGAAAUUUUCAAACUUUCCUAAACCUUUAAAACUUAAAAGGUAUCUUGAAUAUGAACGUAAAUGAGGUAAAGUUGCUCAAUUUUGGCAAUUUAUGAAGGGUAAAAUGAGACAAAUUCAAUUUAAGGCUAAAGUGAGAGUAAAUGGCAGUUUCAUGAGAUAUAUCAAUAAAUAAAUCUUUUCUAGAAUACAACUAAAUUAUGUACUCACGGUAAAAGAUAAAUUAAUAUCGAACUUGUCAUUGACGAUAUCUAAACAUAAAACCUUUCAAGUUUUUACCUAUAAGAAUAAAUUUGGUAUAGUAAUUUCUUUUCUAAUUUAAAGUUUCCCAUAGAGUUAUGACGAAUUUGAUACCAAAUUAGGCUGUCAUUGUGUGGCAUAGCCGAAUUCCUCCUCCCUUACUUUAAAAAUAACGAUGUACUCAAAAAAAGUUUCCCAUAGAGUUAAAAUGAUCUUUAGUUGCUUGCUGAGACAACCCAUAUGUAUAAUAAGACAUUGAAAAAGGUGCCUCUGUCAUUUACACUCACACGAUCGAAUAAGUAGCUCCGACAGUUGCAUCAUAAAAUUAAGGGGUUUUCCGAGAUUGUAGUAAGGUUGACGAUUAAAGUUUGGGAAAUUUUCAGGUUAAGGAAUCAAGGGAUCACAUUUUCAAGUUUCGUAGGCAUUCUCUUUCCUUUGGAAUGGUGUUGGAAUCCGUCCUGAAGUUGCCCAUUCCUUUGCUCUUGAUUUUCAGAGUUGGAUAGCUAUAAACCUUAGGACACAUUGUACCACCAUACAUGGUUUACCUUGGAACCUUAUCUUUAAUUCAACUCUCUGGCAUUGCUGGAAAUGGAGGAAUAACUUUGUCUUCAAUGAUGGCCAACAACCGCUUGACUCACCCCAGAAUUUCAUUUUUCAAUUUGCAAGGGAAUGGUGUGAUGCGAACAAGUGUUCUUCUAGUAAGCCUCCUAGACAAAAUCAUCUCAAUCCAUUGGAUUCGUUUGCCAAUUGGUAUACAAAAUCAAUACAGAUGGGAGUUGUAAAGACCCAUUUAGCCACAUAAGUGCUGGAGGUUUGCUUCGUAAUUCUGAAGGGAAAUGGAUUAAGGGAUUUGCUGCUAAUUUGGGCAGAGGAACCAUCAUGGAAGGUGAGCUUUAAGGGUGGUUUCAUGGGACUUUCUAUAGGUUGGGAUGAGAGUUGCAAGGAAGUGAUUAUUGAAUGUGAUUCUUAUGCUGCUGUUACUUUGAUCCAACAACCUAUUUUAGUUCCCACUCUACAAUCUCAUUAUUGACUGCAAAGAAGCCAUUGAAAGAAAUUGAAGAUGUGAAGUUACUCAUAUCUAUAGAGAAAAUAAUGUCUUAGCUAAUCACACGUCUGACUUAGGUCAUGGGUUAUCACUUGGUCUUCAUGUUUUUGCUUCUCCUUCUACCAUUGCUACUAAUUUUAUAGUUUCUAAUACUAUUGGCAGGGCCCUCCCUAGAGCUGUUUUUUAGUAGCUUUUUUGUUUUGCUUGUUGGGCUUUGCCCUCUUCUGUACCCAAAAAAAAAAAAAAAAAAAAAAAUAUUGGGAAAUUUAUUUGGACCCAACUUUUUUAUCUCUACACCCAAAUAAUAUUUUCUCUUAUCUAAUCUUCCAAAUUUGUCCUUAAAUAACAAACAUUGAAGUUUUCUUUGUAUCUCUACACCCAAACCCCACGAUCCACCACUGUAGGGCGCUCCAUUAUUUCCGACAAACCCAACUCAAACGCCAGCAACACUAAAAUCGACAAAUCAAGACUGGAGAACAAAUGGUGUAGGAGUCCUAAUGUGAAUAUUAAAGCAAACUUAAGUUGCAAAACCCUUUUUUAUUUCAAUCGAUGAAAGGACCUUGGGUUAUGAACAUAAGGAACCUAUUAGGGUUUAGAGGUCCCCUCCACAUCAUAUGCAUAAGCCCUUUUUCUUCAUUCAUUAAUUUACGGAAGGGAAAAUUAAUACUAUUAUUCUCAUAAAAAGUGGGAAUACCAAGGAAAGAGAUCCUCUCCACACCAUAUAUUUUUCUUUUCUGAGUAGUUAUAUCCAAUGGAGAGAGGAAAACAAGAGCACCAAUGGUCGCAGGUUCACCGGAGAAAAUGAAGGUGCAGUGGUGAUGUGAGUUUAGGGUUAUUGGGUGUAAAGAUAACAACUUUAAUAUUUAUUUUCUCAUUUUUAUUUAUUUAAGGGCAAAUUUGAAAGUUUAGUAGAGAAAAUUUGUUAGUUGGGUGUAGAGAUAAAAAGGUUGGGUCCAACAAAAUUUCUCAUAAAGUUUAAUCACGCGAUUAAGUUCUUGUGCAAUGAGUAAAUUGUAGCAAUGACCCAUCAACUAAAAAUCCAUUAUUAUUGAUCCCUCAACUCAUCAAAAUAUGUAGUUAUGGUCAUUUUCGUCAACUUUGUAAGAAUUUUGUCAAAAUAAAUUAUGUUGGAAGGACCAUUGUUACAAUUAAGGUCCUUCAACUCAUCAAAACAUGUAGCUAUGGUCAUUUUCGUCAACUUUGUCAAAAUGAGUUAUGUUGGCAUGACCAUUAUUGCAAUUGGGUUAAAGUUGAGGAAUCAUUGCUCCAAUUGGGUUAAAGUUGAGGGAUCAUUUCUCUAGUUAGAUUAAAGUUGGGGGACCAAUGAUAAUUAAGUUUUAGUUAAGGGAUCAUAGUUGCACGUUUUGAUGAGUUGAGAGAUCAAUGAUAAUGAAUUUUUAGUUAAUGGAUCAUUACUCCAAUUGAGUUAAAAAUAAAGGACCAUUGCUACAAUUUACUCUUGUGCAAUAGAAGAUUAAUUUGGCCGAACAACCUGAUUAAGGUGCCUACUUUCUCUUUAAUUCAUUGGUAUCAUUUAUUUUCCCUUAAGCUGAAUUAUGCUCAAUUUAUGUAUCAAUAUUGUAAAGUUGUCUUUGUUAGAGUAAUUUGGACAAUAUAAAUUGAAAAUUAUUUGUGUAUAUGGAAAAGAUUAACCUCAGGGGUCACUUCGCCGGACUCCGUAGCAAUCUCCACCACUCCAAUCGUAAUGGUGAGUAAAUCACUUGUGUUUGUUUCCAUUUUUUCAAUUGGAAAUUGGGGGUUUUGAAUUCAUAUUUUGUCAAUUGGUUUUGUGAGCACUGAGAAUACACUACGAGCUUGUGUGUGUGUACAAUAUGUUGGAUUUGAUCUUUAUAAAGAAUGCGAGAAAUUGGGGUUAGGAAAGAGAAGAAAAGGAAACAGAACUCGAACUUCGAUCUUCAUUCUUGUUACUAAAGGAGAAAACCGAAUUUGAACCGGUUCAUACGUAAUCGAACCGAAUUUGUAUAGUUCGGUUCACCCCUUAGUACCGAACCGUACCAUACCAAAAAAAAUUUCUUGAGUUUGGUUUUGAUACAUCCCUCAUACUGUACCAUACCAAAUCGUGGCCAGACCUACUGAAUACAAAACUUAUAUCUGGGUCGUAAGUCGUAAGGCCUCCAAAAAAAAAGUUCAUAUUAUUCAUACCAAUCGGACAAAUCCCGCACCCAAAAACAAUGGCUAGAUAGAAAGUUCAAUUAUAGAUUAGGUAAUCUAUCCUUUUCAACUUAAAUGCACAUUCAUGAUGGUUAUGCAAAUCAUAUUAUGUUAACAAAUGCAACAAUUAAUUAUAUUUAUCCAUUUGGAAUGAUAUAUAUUUUCAAAGAUGGAAUUACAGACCCCGUUGACGUUGAGGCCAUUGCAUGAGAGAAUUUUAGAUGAUUUUCAAUUAAUUUAUAUUAUUGUUGUGAUAACCAUAAUAAUUAUUUUCUAAAUGUAAAACUAUAUUAAUGAAAUUUUCUUUGUCGGUCAAAAGAAGAUGAAAAGAUAUCUUUAUCUUCUAUCACAACAAAAAAAUUAAGGAUAUUAAUGUAAUAGGCUAAUAGCGAUGGGGUGAAGAAAUGGAACUAUCCUAAAUAGGCAGUUGCUGGUUAUAUUGGAUCAGGUGGUCUGAAUGAUUGGAUAAUUAGCAAAUAAAAAGGUUCCAUUUUUCAUGGACCCUCAAGUGGAAAUAUGGGAUAAAAGAUGGCAUAUACCAUUUUAUCCAUUUGUGAUUGUACAUUUUGAUGGUUGUGAUUUCACCCGAUGGCGCGGCAAGUGUGGAUUGGGAUAAGGAUGGUUUUGGUCUAUCAUCAAAGAUGGUUUGAUGUUCACGACUGGAUUUUACAACGCAUCCAAGUGCAUGGGUUCUAUAAAUACAGAGUUGCGCACAAUAAAAAAGUACAAAGGACCUUCAAACCUUUCACACACUCUGAGAAACUCCUGAUUCUCCCAACUUCGUCAACACAUCUUCAAUUUGGAUUAACAUCACUGUUUGUCAGUGAGGAGUCCUUAGUCUUCUCGUCUCAUUAGCCCUCUAGGUGAAGUGAGGUGUUACUGAAUUACUUGAGUAUUCAGCACAUUGAAAGUCGAACCUUAUUUGAACUUCACAGUAGUUAGCAAUCUUAUCUUCAGGUUUUAGAACCCAAUGCCAAGACAUAUUCCUUCCUCGACAGUGAUGGUUUGUACACAAAAGUUGGUUUGUACACAUAAGUCAGUAUUGUGUUUGACACACCAUCCCAUUCAUUCUACUAGCCCACAAACGCGUGGACUCGUCCAAAAUUACCCCACUCUCGGCCCGUUCACUUGCCCACUCGUCCCACGCGGCCCGUGAGUCUUCAGUGCCUGAUAGGGGGGCCUACUGUUAGGGCCGUUGUUGGCCACAACCCAGAGCCCAACGAUUUUUUUUUGCAUCCCACGACUGGCAUUUUUGGACCGUUGGUUGAUCCAACGGUCCAGAUUCAAAUUUUGUUUUUUUAAAUGUUAUUUUAAAAUACAUUGAAUCCAACGGCUGAGAUCGAAUAUAAUCAAAUCUAACGGUAAAAUAAAAAAAGAUAAAAAAAGAUAUAACAGUCCAAAUUUAAAUCCAACAGCUAAAAUAAUUUUAAAAAAAAUUAUUUAACUCAAAAUUCACCCAAAAACUCUAUAAAUACCUUUGUAUUUGUUCAAACAUCCACACAAAACUCAAUUUUCUCCCACAAUUCUUCCAUUUUUUCUUUCUACCAUUUCUUUCCAUUUCCAAAUUGUUCAACACGAUCCUUGAAUUGGCCAUCCCAAGCAGUAAGACAAUUCUUCCACUCCCAAAGCAUACAAUCGAGACUUCCUAUCAUGUCAGGAAAGCCUAUUUUGUCUGCUUUGAGUAGAAUGUGACGACAUGUCCCGAAUUAUUAUAUAUUUUUCUCCCUAAGUGUGUAAAGUGACGGUAAUGCCCUCGUGAUUUAGUGACGUGGAUGUACAUAUGUAGUUUUAAAUUAUUAUUUCUAUUGUCGUAGUUAAAUUGUACUCGACGCCAUGAGUGUGUUGAUGUGACCUAGGGCUAAAACAAAUUCGUAACGAAGAAGUUACGAACAGACGAGUGUGUAAAUGCGUAGAAAUAUAUUUUUAUGGGUUGGCUAUACCUUACCCACCAAUCACCUUAAUUCCUGAUUUCUUUGGCCUAAUUGAAUUAAAAAUAUCUCUCAUUUUUCCUUCUGCCCAAUCACGCACAUACACACCAUCACUCUCUCUCUUCUCUCGGACCUUCUUCUUCUUUCUUCUCAUUCCGUACACCCGAGCCACCCUUACCUCACAAUCAUCAUCAAAACAUUAUGGAUCGAAUUGGAAAUCACUACCAUCGCAGUCACCUCGAUCCCACGAACUCAUUGAUACCCUUAGGUCGAGGAAUAGACGUCGGGAAUUCGAGAACUCGGGAGCUCUGGCGAGGUGUAUUUUUCUACUUUGUGAUCGUGGUCUUUUUCUAUGGUUUAAAGGCUUGAGGUGGGUCCUAAUCAACUUUAUAGGGACCCUAGAUUAGUUUUGGAGCAGUUUGAACGUUGGAAUAGGUGAGAACAUGGAGUUGCAGGUUGGCCGGUUGAUCCAAGCCUUACUCCGACCACUUUCUGUCGGUUUUAGAACCUCAAGUAGGUAAGAUUGUAUUCUUCUAGUUGAGAGUUUCAAAUCCAUAUAAAAUUCAUGGAAUUUGGUUGAAAAAUGAUGAAGAUAUUAAAGUUUUAAGAUUUUUCCAAAAAUCAGCGACACAAACGGCGCCCGACGGCCAGCGAUGGAUUCCGACAAAGCCAUCGGAGAAGGAGGAGAAUAUUAUGUCUAACUUUGACAGAAUAUACUAACAGCGUCAGGUAACUCUAUUAGUUUUUAAACAAAAUAUUCUACUAUUUAAUGAAAUAUUCCCUAACGCCGUUAGGGAUUCCGUGCCUGCACGUGCCGGCUUAUGAGGGCGCGUGAGACGUCAGGAAAUUAAUCUAAAAAUAUUGGGGUGUUCGAGUUGUUGAGUAGGUCAUGUUGGUAUAUUCAAACACCCUAUUUGAGCAACGUAUGAGAAGUUAUUCCUAGGGUUUGUGUAUGUGCCUUAAAAUUAAUGUAAAAUUAGUUAUUUCGCAUAUAGGUGAGACUUACCCGGAGGACAAACGUGGUCAAACGAGACUUGGGGGCUACGAUCCUACUACUUACCAGUGAGCGGGCUUUUUUUUUCUAUAUAUAUGUAAAUAUGCUUAUGAAUCCCAUAAACUACUUUAAAUGAACGUAUGUUUUAAAUGCCAUGUCGUGUGCAUUAUGUGUUAGUAUUGCAUUAGUAUAGCUAUGCAUAGUAUUGGAUGAGACUGCGCAGACUCAGGUAAGUUUCAGGUGAGUACAUCAUGAUGGUAUUGGGUGCGUGUGUGUGGUUAUACGUUGAUGCAUUUUGAGCUUAUUAUCCUGCACAUUGGUGUUAGUGUUCUCGCCCAUGGCCAGGGCAUAGUUUUUCACAUGAUGUUCACCUCCUGGGCCGCACGCUCACUUUGGAUCCAAGUUUGGUGCACAGCCAUAUUGCACAGACCACAAUAGGUGGUUCCGACUCGUAGGUGACCUGCAAUUAUUUGCACAGCCUUCACGUGAUCGUAGCACUUAAGCGUACUUAUCUACACCCAGCCCUGUUGUACAGACCACAAUAGGUGGUUCCGACUUAUGUGCAUGCAUACUUGAUGAGCUAUAGAUUCAAUUGUACAGGUUACAUUAGGUGACUCCGGUUGGCAUACUAUUUUAGGUUGAUUCGUAUCACCUGGCUUACACAUUUUAUGGUUGAACAUCUUGACAUGGCAUACCUCUGUUUUCACUGCUCUAAGCAUUAUCCUUAUGUACCUAGUUGUUAUUAUUUUCUGGAAAAUUAUAUGGGUUUACAGUGAGGGGUUAGUAUGUUCAUAAAGACAACUGUGUUUUCAAAAACUUUGUUUUUGCCUACUCACAUUUUUUGUUUUGCACCCUUUCAGGUUCUAGGUAGUUGGUCAUCCUUGGUGGCUCACGAGGACUUUCACGGCGGUUCUGACAUCUCUGUAAAUAAGUAGGGAUUUUUUUCCCUGUUUGUAUAAUUAGUACUUAGUUGGUUCGAUUGCACUUUCGUUUACCCAUGCUCUGAUAUUUGUAUAACUUGCUUGGUCAUCUUUACUCACUUAUAUUAUCUUAGUUUAGAUAAGUUUGGUUUUAGGUUUUUAUUUAUUCGCAUUUCUUUUAUUAUUACUUCUGUUGCGCAUUUUGGCUACGUUACUCUUACGUGACGGGCAUCAUGUUUCGACUUCGGUUGGGGUGUGUCAUAAAAGCCUCUUCAAGUCUUCAUGAUUUGGCUUGCAGAGAUAUGUGGCUCCAUAUGUGGCCUGAAUUGCCCCACAGAAGCGCUCCAGGUUUUUAAUAGCAGUAGUCUCCGCAAGUCGGCAAUACUCAUCAGUUGAGUUUGCAGAGCACUCAUUAGCUAGCAUCCGAAAUGCAGAUGUGAGCUUCUGAUGAGGUGAUAGACUUUGUCGGCCUACGACAUUUAUCUUCCUUGCAAAGUAGUGGUCAUGAUUGACAACUGUGUUCAAGAUGCUUUCAAAAAUCUCUCUCCUCAUUCGAAACCGUCUCCGAAAAUCAUGAGCAGGAAAUCUCGGACGCUCAAUAAAAUAAUAUUUCAUCAUUCGGUCAUGACACUCUUCUCUAUCACGUUGCACAAAUGAACGCUUCGUGACAUAACCACAAUAGCUAGAUUCGACAUGGUGCUCAUAUUGCAUAAGCGAGUUUGGAAGUUUAGCUUAUGCGUUGAUCAUUUUUGAAUCCUCAAUGUCAAGGCUUGCUUGGUAUUAUGUCAUUUGCAUUGCCCUGCUACACCUUCUUCUAUCAUCCAUUGUUGAUAUAUUGAGGAUUUUUAUGAAACAAAAACACUUUGAAAGUUGAAAGAUUAGUGAAUAUAGGGAAUGAUUGAAGGUUGAAAGAUUGUGUGACCAACUGAUAUUGAACAUGUGUUUAUAUAGAGGAUGAUUGAUGAAAGUUGAAAGUUUGGUGAAAGUUGAACGGUUGGUGAAAGUUGAAGAUUUGUGAAAGUUAAAGACUUGCUUUGUGGAAAGAUUUAGUGAUUUUUUCAAUAUUUAUUGGAAUUUAAAUAUUUUUAUAUUAAAAUGUUCAUAAAAUUAAUUUACCAUAGGCUACAUAAUUUUUUUUAAAAGUUAAUUUAAGAAAAAAAAUUAGCCUAAGUUCAUUCUUUAAUAAUCCCGAACUAAAAUUUUAGGCUAGGGUUGGAGCAGAAAAACUGUUUCUGUGUUAAAAGCUAAAUUUUUUAGAUUAAAAAUUUUAAAUUUUAACCCAAAGGUUGGAGAUGAUUUAAGAAUGGAUAAACUUAACCAAGAAAAGAAGAAAAAAGAUGAAGGGCAAAUAAGUGAGAAGCAACAUGACACGACACACGGACGACCAUAGCAAUAAAGCGUGCGUCCUCACGUCCAUUGAAUAUAUAGAUGGGAGCUACAACAUCGUGUUUCACGUGCAUGUGUAUUAUACAUAAAGGCAUAUACAGUGUUAGCUUAUAUAUUAUAAAGUUUGUAGGCCACUUACCCAAUUUGGCAUAUGUUUUAUCUUUUUACGUGAAUAACCAAUGUGUUAUGAUGAUACAAGUCUCUUAACAUAUCCGGAGUUAGAAAUAUCAUAAGACAGUGUUGCGAUCAUAUUGAAAUUAAUUGACAGUUUGUAUUAUAUAUUUGAUUAUUCUUUAUUAACUUAAGGAGACAGCAUACUUAGACCUAAUUUAGUCACAUUCUCCAACCGAAAAUAAAGCGGUGUAGUAUUCAUACACUUUUUUUUAUUUCUUACACAGUCUUAAUUAAUUUCUAUUGUUUGAUCUUCUUCAAUUCAUUCGAUCUGACGACCGAAAAUUAAGAUGGUGUGUGGACGAGUAAAUUAUAACAAUGGUCCCUCAACUUUAAUCAAAUUGGAGCAAGGGUGCUCAACUAAAAAUCCAUUACCAUUGGUUCCUCAACUCAUCAAAAUGUGUAGCUAUGGUCAUUUUCGUCAACUUCGUUACAAUUUUGUCAAAAUAAGUUAUAUUGGAAUGACUAUUGCUACAAUUGGGGUCCCUCAACUCAUCAAAACGUGUAGCUAUGGUCAUUUUCAUCAAUUUCGUUAGAAUUUUAUCAAAAUGAGUUUUGUUGGAAUGACCAUUGCUACAAUUGAAUUAAAGUUGAGGGACUAUUAUUUCAAUUGAGUUAAAGUUGAAAGAUCAUUUCUUCAGUUGUAUUAAAGUUGAAGGAUCAAUGGUAAUGAAUUUUUAGUUGAGGGGACUAUAGCUGCACGUUUUAAUGAGUUGAGAGAACAAUAAUAAUGAAUUUUUAGUUGAAAAACUAUUACUUCAAUUGAGUUAAAAUUAAGAAACAAUUGCUACAAUUUUUUUAUAUGGAAAGUGGAUGAUGUGAAUAGCACAUCCAAAAAUAAAAGGGAACUUUAACGAAAAGCACCCGGUACUGUUCACUUUAACGAAAAACCACAUUUUUACACUAAAAAGUCAAUCCUGGUACUAUUCACUUUACCCUUUAUUUUGUCCUUAUCAUUAAAACUCAAAGUUUUCAAGCCCUUUUCAUUAGUUUUCCUAAAAUAAAAUGCACCACAAUUUGGUAGGAUCUUCCUGUUGAGAGUAAUAAAUUAAUAAUUGCCGAAAUAUUGGAUAAUUUGUCGGCCACAACGCUAUGAGGGAGUAUCUGGGGAUGAAUAUACUCUUGCCGACAGAUGCCCAAAUUCCAACUGCCAUUCAAAUGAGCCCUCCACCACCACCGGCCAUAAUAAAUUCUCUUUCUUUAGUGAAGAAGAAAAAGAGGUACUUGGCCCUCACCUCAACUUUUUGAGAAAGAACAAGUUUAUCGCUAUCAGAAUGUUUCGGUCAAUUAUAUAAGUUAUGUGUAAAUUUUUCUUUAGAUAACAUUACAUUAUUAUAUUUAAAAUGUUCCGUAACGAUAAAUUUGUUUCAUACAAAUUAUUCUCCAACUUCUUGGAUUUUUCUCCUUUUUCCCGAAAACCAGCUUAUAUUAGUGUUCAUCCUCUGUCAAUAUCACUCGCCCACAACUAUUCAACUAACUUUUAAUAAUUUGACAACGUGUCAUAUUUUUGUGCAAAGCGGGCCCAUUUUUGUGGGUGAUAUAAUAAUGGCGUAUGUGGUUUGUCAAGACAUAUACUCAUUUAUCCAUUAGCAGUUAGGUAAGUCACCUCACUCACCCACAGCCUAACACAUCAACAAAUAUUGCUUACAAAUUCUAGAAAAUUCGACCAAGAAAAAAAACCAAAUGCUCGCAAAUUAAAAUUGUGUAACAUGAUUAGUUUUUUAUCCAUUAGUAUUAAUUUUACGUUGGAAGAAAUUCCAAAUUUAUUCUUGUAAAGAGGGAUAUGAAAAUACUUUGUAUGUCUAUCACCAAAAUCUUCGAAUGUUUGAAUGGUUGAUUUUCAAGUCUCACACAAUUGGAUUUAGUUCAAGUGAGAAAGAAAUACACUCAAACUAUUAGAUAUGAGGAAUGAAAAUACACUACAAAAUCUUGUGAACAUUUCUAAUAUUCUCUUCUAUCUACUUUUUGUGAACCAAGUUUUUAUUUGUUUUUUUUUUUAACAAAAGAUAUUUUUUAUACUAGGGAAAUAAGGUGGGUUUAGCCUCAUAAUGGGCUAACAUAAUCUAGUUCAAACUUGCAUUUGGUGAGAAUCGAACCUAAAAUCUCUCACUUACAAGUGAAGAGGAAUACCAUUAGAAGUGUCAUGAAAUUAGCAGUCUUAUAUGUAAAAAAUUGAUUGACUAAAUGCUGUGUUAAAAAACAAGAUUAAUACUUGCAUCUCCCCACUUGGAAAAUGCAAAUAUUUCAUUUCUUGCAAAUAACGUAUAUCAUGCGUUCUGUUCAAUCGCAUAUUCAAAAAUGUUAAAAACAAGAUUAAUAUUUCUAUCUCCCCACUUGGAAAAUGCAGUAUUUCAUUUUUUACGAAUAACGUAUAUCCUGUGUUCCGUCCAAUCGCGUAUUAAAAAAAUGUGUGAAGUUUGGAUUAACUACACUCUUUGAGAAUUUCCUUAAAUAACCACUUUUUGAAAAUUUCUUAUAGGACUAAGUGAGUCUCCGCUGAGAAUUUCCUUAACUAACACAACACUACUUGAGUGAUAAUUUGUUAUAUCUUGAAUAGAGAAUAAAUCAGUUCCCUACUUUUGAAGGUACUAUUAACUUACACUAUAUUUGAAUGAGAACAAUAAACUUAGAAUUUAGAUGAAGGAAAUAAAACAGUUUCCUACUUUUGAAGGUACUACUCGAGUGAUAAUUUGUUAUAUCUUGAUAACGUGUCAUAUUUUUUUGCUAAGCGGACCCAUUUUUGUGGGGUGGUAUAAUAAUGGCGUUUGUUGUUUGUCAAGGGCAUAUACCCAUUUAUCCAUUAGCAGUUAGGUCACCUCACUCACCCACAACCUAGUACAUCAACAAAUAUUGCUUACAAAUUCUAGAAAAUUCAACCAAGAGAAAGAAAACCAAAUGCUCGCAAAUUAAUCUGUGUAACAUUAGUUUUUAUCCAUUAGUAUUUAUUUUACAUUGGAAGAAAUUCCAAAUUUAAUCUCGUAAAGAGGGAUAUGAAAAUACUUUGUAUAUCUAUUAUCAAAAUCUUUGAAUGUUUGAAUGAUUGAUCAUCAAGUCUCACACGAUUGAAUUUAGUUCAAGUGAGGAAGAAAUACACACAAACUAUUAUAUAUGAGGAUUGAAAAAUACACUACAAAAUCUUGUGAUAACAUUUCUAAUAUUCCUUUCUAUCUACAUUUUGUGAUAAGUUUUUUUUUUCCUUUUUUGAACAAACUAUAUUUAUCUACAUUAAGGGAGAGGAGGUGAUCUUAGCCUCACAAUGGGCUAGCAUAAUGUGGUUCAAAUUCGCCUUUGGCGAUAAUCGAACCUAAAACUUAUCAUUUACAAGUAAAUAGGAAUACCACUAGAUGGAUCAUGAAAUUAGCAGUCUUAUAGGUAAAAAAAAAUUGAUCGACUAAAUGAUGUGUUAAAAAACAAGAUUAAUACUUGCAUCUCUCCACUUGAAAAAUGUAGAUAUUUCUGUGAACACGGAAAAUUCCUGAAACGAAAGAGACAAGAACAACGUGCACAAAAUAAUAUUUUGGUGUUAAUGGAUUUGUUGGGUUACGAUCUCUUUUAACUUGAUCCUCUGAUUCGAUCUCCGUAAGGUGUUGAUUUAUGGAUGUUUCGUUGAUCCAAGGGCUGUUGAGGCUUGAUCUUAGAUGAACUGUUGGAAGUUUCUUCAAGGGGCCGUGGGCUUGAUCUUUGAAGGUGGAUUUGAGCGGAUCUUCAAGGAGCCGUUGGGGCUUGAUCUUGAGGAUGAGUGUUUCUUCAAGGGCCGUUAAGGCUUGAUCUUGAAUAACGGUGAUGAACGGAUCUUCAAGGGCUUUUGGGCUUGAUCUUGAAGAACGGUUGGAUGUGUGGAUUUGUUGAUGUUGUUGAUCCAAGGGCCGUCGGAGCUUGAUCUUGGAAGAACGAUGAACGAAGAACGAAGAACACUUUCUUCAAAGGCCGUCGGGGCUUGAUCUUGAAUUGGUGAUUGUUGAUCCAAGGGCCGUCGGGGCUUGAUCUUGGAAGAACGAUGAACGAAGAACGAAGAACACUUUCUUCAAGGGCUGUCGGGGCUUGAUCUUGAAUUGGUGAUUGUUAAUCCAAGGGCCGUCGGGGCUUGAUCUUGAUUCUUCGGGAUGAACGGAUGAUGAACAAUGAACACUUUCUUCAAGGGCCGUCGGGGCUUGAUCUUGAAUUGGUGGAAGUUCUUCAAGGGCCUUUGGGGCUUGAUCUUGAAGGUGGAUGAUUGUUGAUCCAAGGGCCGUCGGGGCUUGAUCUUGGGAUGAACAGUUGUGUGGAUUUGUUGAACACUUUCUUCAAGGGCCGUCGAUGCUUGAUCUUGAAUUGGUGGAAGUUCUUCAAGGGCCGUUGGGGCUUGAUCUUGAAGGAGGAUUUGACGAAGAACGAAGAGGGCUUUCUUGAUCCUUCGGGAUUUGCUUGAAUUUGGGAGGUUGGAUGCUUGAAAGCUUUAGAGUUUCAAAGCUUCAAGGAUUUUGGAUGUGUGGGGAGUAUUCUCUUCCAUUUUGGGAGUAGAGAAAUGUAUUUGUGAAUUGGUUUUUGAUACCUUGAUGUAGAAGCCUAUUUAUAGGCUUUGAGAAUGAAUCACCACCACAAAAUAUUUUUUUUCUUUUCCAAGCACCAUUGCCUAAUUUCCCACUUAAUACAAUUUUAAACUUGAAGUGGUAAUUUUAUGGCCUAAUUUUCCACUUAAUAUCAUUUUAAACUUGAUAUGUGCAUGCUUUGUCAUUGCCCAAAAUGAGAAGAAAACCUUGUUUUGAUCUUCAAUGAAUUGAAAUGUGCUUGCCUUGUCAUUGCCCAAAAUGAGAAGAAAAACUUGUGUAAUCCUUCAAGGGUAUUUCUUUUUAUUUUGUUGAGUCGCACACCAUGUGUACAAUUUGUAUGACACGUGGCAUAUGCCAUGUACGCCUUGACACGUCAAAAUUUUAAUGCGUUGGUGAACAUUUAUUUCACCGCAAUUUCGGUGUCUACAAAUGCCCCCACUUCAAGGUGCGUCGUAUACAUGUGCUUGUCACGUGUAGGAGAUGCGUUUUGAAGUCCCUUACUGUAGAUGUCAAUCCAAUGGCCAUCGAGGCUUGAUCUUGAAUUGGGCUGGAGAUUUCUUCAAGGGCCGUUGAGGCUUGUUCUUGGACUUUGUUUGAAAUUUCUUCAAGGGCCAUCGAGGCUUGAUCUUGAAGGUUGAAAUUGGACCACAAGGAGCUUCAUGUGGUAGAUGAUCUUUGGCUUUGGUAGUGGAUGAAUCGGCACGUAUUUGUUUUUGCGCUUUGUUGACUUUCCACAGCUUUGAUCUUGAACUGGGUUGGAGGAUUUUUUGGAUUCCUCCAAUUGUUGAUUUUCCACAGUUUAUUCUUGAACUGGAUUUGAUUCAAAUAUGGUGGACGCUUGAUCUUGAAUCGGACUUGUGAUUUCCUCAAGGGCCGUCGAGGCUUGAUCUUGAAUUUGGCCGGAAACUUCUUCAAGGGCCGUUGAGGCUUGAUUCUUGAAGGUUGACUCGAACACAUGGCAAGCAGGCACGAGGUGAAGGUGACGACUUGUUGCUUUGUUCAAUCUUUCUAAUUCACACCUGAGCAGUUUGGUCAACGGUAUGAUCUUCAAGAUUGAUGGGCUCUUCUUCCAGUUGGUGAUUUGAUCUUUAAGGAUUUGAUUCAAGGGUGGUGAAACGGCACAUGCAGCCCACAACGCCUAGCAAGUCGACCCAAGAAUUUGAGGGUUAAAACGAGUCCUCCACCCAGAGUGAUUGCAAACCUGAUGAUAUGAGAUACUUUUGAUUUUGAAGAAGUAGCGGAUGAAUCGGCACGUGCUUUGUUGUGCUUGUCUCCACAUGCUUCAAUGUAUCAUUUUCCCUUGUCUUAUCUAUUCUUCUAGCAGAAUGUAGCAUCUUCUUAAGUUCUUCAACUCAGACUCCUUCUGCUGAGCUGACUGUGCAGGCUGCAUUAUUCUCUGCUUGUUUCUUUAGGCAGAUGUGGCAGCUUCUUGAGUUCCUCAGCUCGGACUCCUUCUGCUGAGCUGAUUGUGAAGACUGCAUUCUUAUCUGCUUGUUUCUUCUGUACGUUGUCUCCACAUGCUGCAAGGUAUCAUUUUCAAUUGCCUUAUUUGUUUUCCAGGCAAAUGUGGCAUCCGAGUUUGAGUGGAGGUUCUGGCAUAUUGUUUUCUUUAUCCUUGUCUUUGUAGGUAAGAACAAGGACAAAGGAAAGGACAGGGAGAACGCAUGAUAUGAUAUACUCUUGCUUUCUACCCUGGUGAUAUGAGAUACUUUUGCUUUGGUGUCAUUUGUUUGCAGAGGUACCCCAAGGAAUAAGAAACACUGAGUGACUCGAGAGGCUUUGUUGGGAAGGCAUUCUAGGAGAUGAAGAAAGGUUCUUGGAGAUGAAGAAAGGUUCUCGGAGAUGAAGAAAGGUUAUGUAUGUCUGCCUUGCUAUGGAGGGUAAAGGUGGACAGUUAUAGGAAAUUCUUUAGUACCUGUAGAGGUACUAUUCUUUUACUCGUGUCGGCAACCAAUGUGUGAUUGAUCAGUAUGGCUUCACGUGUUUUCUUCUUUAUCAGAAAUCUUCGACAAAUUGUCCGUAAUUUUCGUCAAGCUGAGUGUGCAUGUGACAGGUGUUGACGAGGCUGAAAAAGACUGGUGCCUCUUCGAUAUCUGGGAUCGGCGCUUCGACAAAUUGCCCGUGAUUUCCGCAAAGCUGAGUUUGCGCGUGACGGGUGCUGACGAGGCUGAAAAAGACUGGCGCCUCUUCGAUAUCUGGGAUUGGCGCUUUAACAAAUUGCCCAUGAUUUCUGCAAAGCUGAGUUUGCACGUGACGGGUGCUAACGCGUCUGGAAAAGCAAGAUGCUUCUCCGAUUUCUGAGCUUGCCUCUUUGAUUUUUGAAUUGGCCUCUUCGAAUUCUGAGCUCGCCUCUUCGAUCUUUGAAAUCCCAUCGAGUGUUGAUCUUUAUAGAGGCACGCAGUUCGUUUCAAAGCACACUUGAAUUUUCGCUUGUAGAAACUCCCUUCUUGCACUUCUAAGAUCUUGAUUUGUCCGACCUCUUCUUUCUUCAACACCUUUGAAAAUGUCUGGACCCUCCGACCGUCAUUUUGAUUUGAACCUUGGUGAAGAGGUAGUCCCGUCUUCUCCAGAUAACAUAUGACGCCCAUCUUUCAUAUCCCCUACUGGUCCUCUUACCGUUGGGGAUUCGGUGGUGAAGAAUGAUAUGACCGCUGCGGUGGUGGCCCGAAACCUUGUCACUCCCAGAGAUAACAGACUACUUUCCAAACGGUCUGAUGAGUUGGCUGUUAAGGAUUCUCUGGCUCUCAGUGUGCAGUGUGCAGGUUCUGUGUCUAAUAUGGCCCAACGCCUAUUUGCUCGAACCCGUCAAGUUGAAUCAUUGGCGGCUGAAGUGAUGAGUCUCAAACAGGAGAUAUUAGAGGGCUCAAGCAGAGAGAUAAACAGUUGCAUAAGCUCGCACAUAGCUAUGCGACAAACAUGAAGAGGAAGAUUAACCAGAUGCAGGAAUCUGAUGGUCAGAUUUUACUUGAUCAUCAGAGGUUUGUGGGUUUGUUCCAGCAGCAUUUGCCUUCGUCUUCUGGGGCUGUACCGCGUAAUGAAGCUCCAAAUGAUCAACCCUUGGCUCCUCUUCUUCCUGGAGUUCCGCCGAGUGGUGUGGCUUCAAACAGUCAACCUCCGACGCCUCUCAUUUCUGGAGCUCUGCUGAGUGGUGAGGUGGCACCUAAUCGUCCUUGAAGAUCCCCUCUUGUAAAUUUGAUUUGAUUUUUUUUUAAGUAUGUAUAAUGCAAAUUUAUGUAAAAUUUCCAGAAAAAAUAAAUAAAAACGGACUUUAUUUCUCUCAAUGCAUUUGUUUUGUUUUGUUUUUGUUUUUUUUGUUUUUUUGUUUUUGUUUUUUUUGUAAAUACAUAAUAACAUAUGUAUUUAUUUAUUUAUUCUUUUGUAAUAAAAUUGACUUUCUUUAAUAAAACUUUUAUAUUUUUCUUAUUUAUUUUGAUAUGACUGAACUCGAAAUUGAAUGUUCGAGCCGCCUACGUACCCUUCCAAAGAAGAGAUCAAGCCAUAACGUAGUUCAAAUGAGUGAUGAAUUUAAUAGUGAUUUUGAUGAUGAUUUUGCCGUACACAGUUUAUGCUCUUGUGGGCCAGGAGCUUUGGUGUUGCCUUUUAUGCUCGUGCAGACCAGGAGCGUUGAUGUCGCCUUUUAUGCUCGUGUGGGUCAGGAGCGUUGAUGUUGCCUUUUAUGCUCGUGCAGACCAGGAGCUUUGUGCCAUGCAGUUUAGACUCGUGCGGGCAAGGAGCUUUGGUUCGUGCAGUUUAGGCUCAUGCGAACAAGGAGCAUUGGUUCGUGCAGUUUAGGCUCGUGCGAACAAGGAGCAUUGGUGUUGCCUUUUAUGCUCGUGCAGACCAGGAGCUUUGUGCUAUGCAGUUUAGACUCGUGCGGGUGAGGAGAAUUUGUGAAUUUUGUCAAGCACUUUUGGAGAGGCGUUCCUUACAAUCUUCAUAGCAAGGAGCCUUGACCGAGUGAUUGAAGAAGUCUUCGGGAAAGAAGUCGCACAUCGUGAUGGCAACAGACGAUCUUUGUGUCGUAAUUUCAUCAUCUUCAACACGUUCACGUUGCUUUGAAGGUUGACAAGAGCUGCUUUGCCCCCUUUCCGAUUGGCGGACUUGUGGAGGAGACGUAUGCUUCUUGUGCCAUUUCUUAGGAGUGACUUGAGUCCAUCCUUCAAGUUUGCUUGUUUUGGAGGAUGCCCCCGGCGGUUGAGGUGAAAAUUUUGUGUUGAAAGAGCCAGAAGUGAUGGUGGUAUAGUUUGACUUCACCACAUCGUCAAGAUCUAGCUCGAUGAUUCCUUUCUGAGCCCACUUUAUGAUGAGAUCUUUCAGCACAAAGCACUUUUCUGUCGGAUGACUGAUGAAGCGGUGGAAUUUACAGUAUCUUGGACUGUUGGUACGAUUCAUCUCUUCCGGCCAUCUGCACUCAGGCAAACUGAUCACCUUCUUGUCCAACAGGUCAUCCAACAUGGCAACCACAUCAGAGUCAGGGAAUGGAUAAGUCUUCUCUUUAAGCUCCUUCAAAGUGCGUCUACGCAUCUCUUGAUCACGAAAAGCUUCGGUUUGAAUCGUUUUGCCUCGUGUGGAGAUUUUGACGGGAGAUGUGUUGACUGUCAUUGCUUCCUUGGUGGAUUUCCACGUAGCCUUCUCCACCUUUGUCUCAAGAAUUUUGUCGUUCUUGUAGUCGGCGAUCGGUUCCUUCUUCCCAUGAUGGGUGAUGCUCAACUCCAUGUCAUGGGCGUGGGUGGCCAAUUCCUCGAAGGUCCGUGGUUUAAUGCCUUGAAGGAUGUAUUGCAAACCUCAUUGCAUGCCUUGGAUGCACAUCUCGAUUGAAGAGGUCUCCGAGAGCCUAUCUUUGCAGUCGAGGCUUAGAGUGCGCCAUCUGUUGAUGUAGUCAAUGACCGGCUCAUCUUUCCAUUGCUUCAUACUUGUGAGCUCCAACAUGCUUACAGUGCGGCGGGUGUUGUAGAAGCGGUUGAGGAAUUCCCGCUCCAAUUGCUCCCAGCUGUUGAUGGACUCAGGCUCUAGGUCCGUGUACCACUCAAAUGCGUUUCUUUUCAGCGAGCGCAUAAACUGCUUGGCGAAGUAGUCCCCCUCCGUCCCCGCGUUGUUGCAAGUUUUGACGAAAUGUGCAACGUGCUGCUUUGGGUUUCCUUUUCCAUCAAACUGCAUGAACUUUGGUGGUUGAUAUCCCAUCGGCAUCUUUAGGGCAUCAAUCUUCUUUGAAUAAGGCUUUGAGUACAACCCGGAGGUAUUUGAGCUCCCUUCGUACUAUGCCUUGACGGUGCUGGCAAUCAUCUCUUGCAACUGUUGGAUAGAAAGAGAUCCCAUGAGUGCCGCUUCUUGGUCUGGCUCCGGCUUCACAUCGAUUUUCUCCACCGUAGGCUCAUCUUCUGGGUUAGGGUUCUCGCUGUCCUGUGGCUCCAGUUGACUGAUGAGUGCAGCGAUUUGCAAGUCUUUUUCUUCCACAGUUCGGGUUAGCCUUGCGAUUGCUUCAUUCAUUUGAGCCAGUUGUUCUUCGAUGGAGGUAACGCCGAUGGUCAUGACUUGUGCAACCAAUAGACGUGACUUUCCUUUAGACAUCCAAGAUGCUGAAGAAGAACGUCAUUGGUUGUUUUGGGAUGUCAUCUUGUGUGCCUCAGCAACAUGCUUUGGUGCCCCCAGCGAGGUCAGGUUGAUGACAGACUCACACCUUUGAUGCUCCCUUUGCUCUUUUAGCGGCACCAACUUUGAAGUGGCAUGUUAAGGAGCGGUUGUGGUGCUAAUGGAUUGUCCAUUUGCGGCAGAAGUGCUUAGGAUCCUUCCCUCAGUGAUUGCGAGAACGGCUUGUCCCUUGCUUGAUGCCAUUGAUUUUGAGGUGUGUUUGGAUUCCUUAAACGGAGAAAGAUAUGAGAGGUAGAGAUUGUCCCACCGGGCGUGCCAAUUUGUGAACACGAAAAUUUCCUGAAACGAAAGAGACAAGAACAACGUGCACAAAAUAAUAUUUUGGUGUUAAUGGAUUUGUUGGGUUACGAUCUCUUUUAACUUGAUCCUCUGAUUCGAUCUCCGUAAGGUGUUGAUUUAUGGAUGUUUCGUUGAUCUAAGGGCCGUCGAGGCUUGAUCUUGGAUGAACUGUUGGAAGUUUCUUCAAGGGGCCGUGGGCUUGAUCUUUGAAGGUGGAUUUGAGCGGAUCUUCAAGGAGCCGUUGGGGCUUGAUCUUGAGGAUGAGUGUUUCUUCAAGGGCCGUUAAGGCUUGAUCUUGAAUAACGGUGAUGAACGGAUCUUCAAGGGCUUUUGGGCUUGAUCUUGAAGAACGGUUGGAUGUGUGGAUUUGUUGAUGUUGUUGAUCCAAGGGCCGUCGGGGCUUGAUCUUGGAAGAACGAUGAACGAAGAACGAAGAACACUUUCUUCAAAGGCCGUCGGGGCUUGAUCUUGAAUUGGUGAUUGUUGAUCCAAGGGCCGUCGGGGCUUGAUCUUGGAAGAACGGUGAACGAAGAAUGAAGAACGAAGAACACUUUCUUCAAGGGCCGUCGGGGCUUGAUCUUGAAUUGGUGAUUGUUAAUCAAAGGGCCGUCGGGGCUUGAUCUUGGAAGAACGAUGAACGAAGAACGAAGAAGGCUUUCUUGAUUCUUCGGGAUGAACGGAUGAUGAACAAUGAACACUUUCUUCAAGGGCCAUCGGGGCUUGAUCUUGAAUUGGUGGAAGUUCUUCAGGGCCUUUGGGGCUUGAUCUUGAAGGUGGAUGAUUGUUGAUCCAAGGGCCGUCGGGGCUUGAUCUUGGGAUGAACAGUUGUGUGGAUUUGUUGAACACUUUCUUCAAGGGCCGUCGAUGCUUGAUCUUGAAUUGGUGGAAGUUCGUCAAGGGCCGUUGGGGCUUGAUCUUGAAGAAGGAUUUGACGAAGAACGAAGAGAGCUUUCUUGAUCCUUCGGAAUUUGCUUGAAUUUGGGAGGUUGGAUGCUUGAAAGCUUUAGAGUUUCAAAGCUUCAAGGAUUUUGGAUGUGUGGGGAGUAUUCUCUUACAUUUUGGGAGUAGAGAAAUGUAUUUGUGAAUUGGUUUUUGAUACCUUGAUGUAGAAGCCUAUUUAUAGGCUUUGAGAAUGAAUCACCACCACAAAAUAUUUUUUUCUUUUCCAAGCACCAUUGCCUAAUUUCCCACUUAAUACAAUUUUAAACUUGAAGUGGUAAUUUUAUGGCCUAAUUUUCCACUUAAUAUCAUUUUAAACUUGAUAUGUGCAUGCUUUGUCAUUGCCCAAAAUGAGAAGAAAACCUUGUUUUGAUCUUCAAUGGAUUGAAAUGUGCUUUGCCUUGUCAUUGCCCAAAAUGAGAAGAAAAACUUGUGUAAUCCUCCAAGGGUAUUUCUUUUUAUUUUGUUGAGUCACACACCAUGUGUACAAUUUGUAUGACACGUGGCAUAUGCCAUAUAUGCCUUGACACGUCAAAAUUUUAAUGCGUUGGUGAACAUUUAUUUCACCGCAAUUUCGAUGUCUACAAUUUCAUUUCUUGUGAAUAAUGUUUAUCCUGUGUUCUGUCCAAUCGCGUAUUAAAAAAUGUGUGAAGUUUGGAUUAACCACACUCUUUUAGAAUUUCCUUUAUUUACCACUUUUUGAGAAUUUCCAAUAAGACUGGGUGAGUCUCCGCUGAGAAUUUCCUCAACUAACACCACACUACUUGAGGGAUAAUUUGUUAUAUCUUUGAAUAAAGAAUAAAACAGUUUCCUACUUUUGAAGGUACUAUUAACUUACACUAUAUUUGGAUGAAGGUCAAACUUUAUAAAUUGACAUACACCAAAUUCUUUGUUUGGAUUCAUAAACAUAUAAAUUUAGAAUUUCCGCGUGGAAAAAAAAAAUACUUAGAAUUUGAGACCUCCAAUUCUCAAAUUGAAAGUUUAAAAAUAAUAAAUUCCGUAUUCAAUUCAAUUGUUCUUUUAGGUUAACCAAAUAAGAAAAUUCACAAAUUCUAAAAUAUAAAAUCUCAUCAUUUCAAUUUCCGUCAUUUUAAAAUUCCUUAGUAAUAUUAAAUUUCUUCAUCCAAACAUAGUGUUAAGAAAUUUUUUAAAGAUACACUAUUUACACUCAUUUUUAUUUCUUACACAUUUAUUAACUUUGUCCAUUGAUUUCUUCAAUUCAUUUUGCCAGUUAUACAAAAAUUGAGAACAGUAUUUAUGAAUUAAAAAUACAUUUGUAGAUGUCACUACCAAAUUUUUAUUCCUAAUUCAAGAAAAUCUUAUCCAUAUAUGAUUGCCCUUGCCCACUUUAAAUGGGUGCCAUCACUUUACGAUAGAGCAAUCCUAACCGUCCACCUAGGUAAGCAUAACUGGCGAUGCAUGUCGCAAGGGGACCGCAUUGCACAAUAUAAUUAUACUAGUUGAUAAGACAAGUGAUGUCAAUCAAUAAAUUAUUUCAUUAAAACUUAGUUGUAUGUAUCAUAUGUUGUAAUGUAGGGUGUAUGAUAUGCUGACGCUGUAAAAAAAUGUAACCUUUUUAAUAUUACUCAUAAUAGUAAGACUUACCAGUAUUAGGAUGUUAUCAGUGGAAUGAGAAUCCUCUCCAGAUCUUUUUUGUGAGCUAUUAUUUGUAUUUAAUUUUAAAUAUAAAAAAUUAAAAUAAUUUAUGACGGCAGUGAUUCACAUGAUCUUCACAAAGAGAAUCCAAAUAAUCUUAAUUUAUAUCAGUGUGUCUAGAUAACAUGAUCGAGCCCCUUUACUUUUACCCUAUUUAGUAUUUUACAUUUGAACCUGUAAAUAUUCGAUUUUUCUUUGGUGCAACCGAGCACCAAAUAUAGAUUUUUUUUCACUUUUAUAUAAUGAUAAAUAAAGGGCAAUUGGCAGAUUUGAAUUCCAUUCGGAUUGGUCAAAAAUCAUUUUAAAUUGUUUUAUUUAAAAUUAAACACAUAUAGUACUUAAUAAAAAUUAGUCGUACAAUAUACGAUAAACAGAUAUAAUGUAAGGACCUUUAUGAUCUUCACAAAAAAGAUCCAAAGGUUGUGUAGCUGUUUCAAAAGGAUAAUACUCACUUUUGAUUAGUUCAAUGAAAUUUUAAACAUGUUUUAUUGUUUUAAAAAAUAAUAAACAUAUUUAUUAAUGUUUGUUUUACUUUAAAAAAUAAGCAGCACUUGACAACAUUUGAUUGUGCUAAAUAAAAAAUGAGUGACCACUUAGUACUACAGUCUUAUGAUAUUUUUCUUCAUUUGAAAGUGAGAGGUUUUAAGUUCGAAUCUCGUGGAUGACGAAUUUGAUAUCAAAUUAGAUUGCUCACUAUGUGGCUUAGCCGAACUCUCAUUUCCUUUAAUGUAAAAAUAUUGAUGUAUUCAAAAAAAUAAAAAGUGACUAUAGAGGACACUCAAUCUCAGCUGUAUGAUUAAAUCAGACGGUAAGAAAAAUUCUGCAAGCAUACUCGGUUACAUUAAUUGAAGAAAAAAUGGGUAAAUAUUGGGCACCAACGUUAUAAAUACCCUCCACCAUGCACCCAACUCCCUCACACCAUCACAACCCACGUUACAAAUCCUCCUCCUCAUCAUAACCAUUCUGUUUUCCGCAUAAUAUCCAAAAACCUAUCAUGUCUGAAGAGAAACACCACCGCGGUCUCUUCCACCACCACAAGGAUGAAGACAAACCCUCAGACUACCCUCAGUCUGGCUACUCUGAUGAAGGACGUCCCGGCGGCCUCGGUGGUGGUUACGGCGACACCAAUGAUUAUUCUGGUGAAGGACGUACCGGCGGCCUAGGUGGUGGCUAUGGCGACACCAAUGCUUAUUCUGGUGAAGGACGUCCCGGCGGCUAUGGCGGCUAUAACGAGACCACUGCUUACUCUGAGGAAAGAGUUGAAAGACCCGGCGGUGGCCGGUACAGUGAGACUACUGCGGCAUAUGGCAGCACCACCACUCAUGAAUCUGAACUUGAUUACAAGAAGGAGGAGAAGCACCACAAGCAUCUCGAGCACCUCGGCGAGGCCGGUGUAGCUGCUGCCGGCGCUUUUGCCUUGGUACGUAUUGUAUUUUAACCCACCUCUAUAUAUAUAUAUAUUAGAAUAAUGCUAAUAAGACCAAAUUUUGAAAACUAAAUGAUGUGGUUGUUGAUAAUGAACUUAUUACUCAAGUCUUGAUUAACAUGCUUAUUUUCUAAUAGUGACACAUUAUUUGGUUUAGAAAUUUGGUCUUCCUAACUUUAUCAUUCUCAAAAUUUUCAUGAUUUUGAUAGGGUAAUACGGGAGAUCAAAAUUUCUAAACCAAAUUUGCAAACCAAUAGAUGAUUGGAUUAUUAAUUAAGUAUCGAUUGUUUGUUUCUUAUUAACGACAUAUCAUUUGAUUUACAAUUUAGUUAAAAAAAAUUUAUUCUUUCUGUCAUAUCCUUUUGAAUAUUUGAUCACUUUACUCUUUAUCACUUUACCCUUGAUCACUUUACCCAUACUCUUGCAACCGAAUCACCGUCCUCCUCCUUAACCUUCAUUUUUUUGUCUUACAGUACUCCAAUCUAUCAACUCUGUCCAUUGCAACUUUAAUUGUGAAGAAAAUUAAAGUCCUAUCGUAAAAUUAAUUAGUGAUAUGGAGAGUUGCGCAAUUAUUGAUGGACUAGGUAGGUAAGAUACGGAAUCAAAGUCUACCAUUAACAAUGGACGGAAUUGAUGAACCAUAUAGGUAUGUAAGAUACGGAAUCAAAGUCCUCAUGUAAAUGGUACAGUUGCAAUCAGGAGAAGAAAUGAGUUAACUGAUACCUUCGUAAUAGUUCAUGUAGAGUUUUGAUAUUAUUAAGCCUUAACCACCUGAUCUUAUAUAUACGAGGACAAAUCUAAUCAAAUAUGUGUUAAUUUCAAGGUUUGUUUUACAUUGAUGUGAGAUCGAUGCUAGCAAGAUAUAUAACUUAUGUCAGUUUCUAUAUGAUGUGUGUAGCAUGAGAAGCACAAUGAAAAGAAAGACCCAGAGCAUGCCCACAGGCACAAGAUAGAAGAGGAGAUUGCUGCAGCAGCUGCAGUUGGUUCGGGUGGAUUUGCCUUCCAUGAGCAUCAUGAGAAGAAAGAGACAAAGGAAGAAGAGGAAGAGGCUUAUGGAAAGAAGAAGCACCAC
rnacentral:lncRNA from 1 species